rnacentral:lncRNA from 1 species
UGGAUCUUGGGUCUAGGUUACCAUAAAAACAUGUGCUAUAGCUCACUUGUGGCAAAAAAUGUCGUAACGGCCUCUCCGAUCUAAAACGUAGGUGGCAGGUCGGAUACAUGAAAUUGGCUCUUUGGCCACGGAAACGUGUGCUACAGCUCGUGGGAGGCCAAGGACCACUUUAAGGUGCUCUGGGGACCAAAAAGCGGGUGGUGGAACACGUACUUAAAAUGGUCGCUCGACCAUGAAAACGUGUGCCAUAGCCUACGGGAGGCCAUAAACAGCCUUAGCAGUCUCAGUGGCCAAAUCAUGGGUGGCGGACGGGAGGUGUUGGGUCUAUGCUUCGUCGCCGAAGGUCUUAUAGAAAGAAGUGAUCCUCGGAUGAAGCUGUUCGCACAAGAUAGCCGAAGGUGCCUUUUCGCAGAGCUUCGGCAUUACAAACCGACUUAAAGAUAGAAUGACCUUUUAGUCCAUAAAGGUCUGAGUCAAUGUUGUAAGUUCUUAUAAGGGGCAUACUUGUAAUUCCUCACAGGCUGCGUCCUGUGCCUAUAAAUAGUGAACAGUAUUACGUUACUGUUCACGCAUUUUUUCUGACAUUUGCAAUCGCAUUUCUCGGAAUACAACCUUUGUCAAGGCAUAGGUAUCAUUGUAUUUUAUGAUUCAAUAUAUUAAGUGAAUAUUAUAUAAUGCAUCUGUGAAUCGUUUAUUCAUUCUUACCUUUUAUUUUACAUUAUUCUACAACGUUUAUUGAAAGUUUAUUACGAAGGUUCAACUUCGUAAUAAGACGCUUAUCAACCUUCGUCUAAGAUCCAUUAUCCUCAAAGGAAUAAUGCUUCGCGGACGAAGGACAGUAUCAUUUAACAUUCUAUGUUGCCUUGUUCUUAAUUCAUAGCAUUUGAGAACAAGUCCCCAACAGGAAUAAUGCUUCGCGGACGAAGGACANNNNNNNNNNNNNNNNNNNNNNNNNNNNNNNNNNNNNNNNNNNNNNNNNNNNNNNNNNNNNNNNNNNNNNNNNNNNNNNNNNNNNNNNNNNNNNNNNNNNGCAGCAGUAGCAGUAGCAGCAGUAGCAGCAGCAGCAGUAGCAGAAGUAGCAGCAGUAGCAGCAGUAGCAGUAGUAGCAGUAGGAGCAGUAGUAGUAGUAGUAGUAGUAGUAGUUUACGAACGGCUUUUCUCGCCAACGGAACUGCUCUAUCAAAACAAAAGUGAAAGAGACAUUUCUUUCAGGAAGGGCAAUGCGGGUUCGACUCCCGCUCGUGACAAGAAGCAAGCCAAGCUAGGUAUGCUCGCUAGCUGAAAAAGGCAAGGGAAAUGACAAAAGACAAGGGCAAACAUGCAUACGAAUGCAAAUCCGAAUCCUAAUGCUCCAAAGAAAAGAGAAGGGAAUUGCCAACUUGAAUGAAUGUUACGGUUGCCAAUCAUCCAAUUCCUACUUCGGGUUCCUACGAGUCCUACGAUAUAGCGAUUCACGAAAACAGUGAUGAUUGAAGGAAGCAGCUGCACGCCUCUCCGGAAGAACCAAUUUCUAUUCGGAAGGAAGGGUUUAACCAGGUGUAGACGAAUCCGAAUCAAACUAUAGAAUGUUCUUUGCCGAUGCUUUGCGGGAACCGACAGGAAGCUUUGGAUGAAAGGAUAGGAAUAGGAAUAGUCAUAUCGCUCGGGACUUCCGUUGGAUAGCGUAAUGUACGUUCGCCGUUGAUUCCUUUUGAAAGGAUAGGUGCAGGAGUGGGGGUAGCAUUAUUUUCUAUCGCUAUCCUGGGCCGAGGAGAGGGGGUUUCGGAAGCCGUGCCCUUGUUGGUAAAGGAAGUAGGUUUUGCUUUUGAAGGUAGGUAUUUCUGGAAGCAAGGAAAAGAAAGAAGGAAGUUGACUCGUACCAAGCAAAGCAGCUACUCUACUUGCAGUCCUGAGCUCAACGCCUACUCAUACCCUUCAAUAGAACUGUUCACAAGUUCCCUUGUUCUAUAGUUCACUCGAGGGUGGUGUGCUUUUUGCCUCACUUCAAUCGCCUAAGGGCUUAUUUUAUUGAGGAGUGAUGUCUCACGACUUGUGUGUCGUGCCAGGCCUCUUCCUUCACCGCAGGGGGGAUAAGUCUUUGAUAAGUAAAGCUAAACAGAAAGAAAAGUCCACCAUGAUUCCUCAAGCUAGACAGAAAGAGAAGGAAUAGGUCUUACUAGUCCCGGUACAAGAGAUGGGAAUUCCGUGCUAUUGGAACGACUAGUAGAAUGAAACAGAACUAGUAGUUCUCUAAACCUUGUGAAACUAUGAGAGUAACGUAUGUAUUCAGCCCUAGUAGUCUGUAUCGAUGAAUAGAAUGACUUUUGCUAGUGAGUGUUACAAGCUAGUAGUAGUUGUACAUUACUAGUGAAUGGAACGAUACGCAGGUGUUGAUUCCUUUAUUGUUCUAUAUUACCUAGCCAUACACACUCCUUUCUCCUAUUACUCGCUAAACACACUCCUUUCUUUCCUAUGCAAGUAUCAUUCCAGAUGCAUGGAUUAGCAUACGUAUAAAAAAACUCUUACUUAAAUAUUGAGAUUGCCCUUCUUCGUAUAUCGAUUUGGGAAGUGUUCCAGAACAAAAUGAAUACUCCUGCUGCUAGUAGGUGGAAAACAGGGUCAAUUGUGGUUAUGUUGAUCCAUCUGCUUCAAAGCUUCGGGUGCUUUUGCUAAUGAAUCUUUUCCUUGUUCGUUCUGAUACGACCCAUUCCAUGGAUAUGAUCAAUGUAAAGAUUUUAUUUUUUUAUAGUUGUAUACCACAUCAUUAGAUGAACGAUAUGAGGCAGUUGCCAAUUGCACUCUUGUUGCUUGUAAAAGUGCAAUCAAAUCGAGAGUUUUAACGAUUGGGACAUAGCCGAGAUACGCUAAGGUUGAGGCAAGGCGGAACCUCCUCUACUAAAGUACGAAUACGAAUAUUUCCUUUGCGGAGGAUAUUCACUGCUACGGAACUACAGCAUAGAUCUAUUAUAAAAAGAAAGAACUUCAAACUCUUCCACUUACUCCUGUUUGGUUUGCUUCUGUUUUCAGUUGAACAUUCUUCUUUUCUUUGAUUUUCAAUCAACGAGUACGGGAGACAAUGGCUCUUCUUUGCUUUGGCAAAAAGAGAAGGAGCUCUUCUUGCCCAUACGGGAGUGGAAGCUUCAGUGUAAGCAUUUCCUCACACUUGUCUUCGUAGGCCACUUUAUGUUGAGCAGGAGGCGCUCGCUGUUCUUGUUGAAGUUGUUUAUACAGGUUUUGGUGGCAAUCCGAGUGAGAUUGAACCUGCUUCUUUGACUCAAGAACACUUUCUUCUUUUCAAUAGGUAAAAGCACACCACCUUCUCAUGACAAUCAUAGUGCUUCGGUUUCUGUCUGUCUAAAGGUGUUCCCAGGGGGUAGCUGCUUUUGCAUAGAAUGGAUUUUGGGCCUUGCCCGCUUGCACAAGGAAAAGAAGAAGCGAAAUCCAUUUCCGUAAGGUGUGACGUUGUUCCGUUGUUCGAAAGGAAAGGUAGGGAUAGACAGGUAAAGGAAGCCAAGUACUUGACAACCCAACCCUAGUGUUAGUAGUAAGAGUUUGAGAAUCAUAGCCUGGGUACUCUUUUGACUCAUCGGUCUCUCUCUGCUUGACCUAUACUCCCGGAACUUUCUGGCCAGGCCUUCCUAUAUGCUUCUCUCCCUUAAGAGCGGAAAUCGUUAAGCCUGCGGCCUUAGGAUCUAGUGCACCGAAUACUUUGCCAAUCCUACACUUAUAAUAUCGGAUCGGAAAGGUAGUUAUUCCCGGAAACUGUAGGAAAAGAGCCUCACUCCUAGCCUCUAGACUGAAACUGACCCUGAAAGGCUUGAGAGCAAAGGGUGCGGUCGCAUAAUCCAAUCCUGCUAAUAGAAAGGCACGGACUCGAAGGUAGUUGUGCCAGGAGAGGAUUGAGAAGAGUGUCAUACUCAAGAAGUAAGCCAUCAAAUCCUUUCUGAUGACAGAUGGAUUAUCUAUAGACUAAAGACGGAUUUUCUAUCGACUUUCAAACUUAUCGAGACCUUCUAUUUCAUUGAACUACUAAAUACUGGCGCAUAGAUCUUCUAGUAGAUAUAAUAUAAGAAGGAAGGUUCUUUCUAACGAUUGGAGGACCGGGCAUUUUGUCAUUCAAAGAUAUGGUAACCGAACACUAUUGUUAGAAAAACCUUGUGUCAUCCUUCGGUAGAGCAAAGCAAGGAUGAUGAGGACAUCACUUCUAUAUAUACAAUGAAUGGACCGAUAACACGAUCUCGUGCACGACAGCUAAAUCUCCAGGUACGUUCUACCCUAGUCAAUUGUGUUUCAGAGCUUACGCUUGGGGCCAUGGAUGUUUUGAUGAUUAGGUACCUUGGAGAGGACCAGCAAGGACUUGGGAAAGGCCAAGGUGUUGAGGAGGAGCAGCAAGGGCGUCCACAACAGGAAGGAGAUCAAGUCCGAGUCGGCUGCGACUCUAUCUCGGGUUUCAGGACCAGUCUGCACUAAAAUGGACGCCUAAGAUGCAUACGGACUCCGAUUGUGACGGACUGGAUAUGGUUGGAAAGAUAACGAGAUUAUCUAACCAACCCAACUGGUUCCACCCUAAAAUUCAUCCGGAGUCAACGGGAAUCGUCGAAACAAGUCAGCAUUCAGAUUCUGUUUUGGUGCUGCGACACCGUCUGUUGGGCCGUUGGGCCAUGUAUCGCGUCGGAGCCCAUUAGGGGCGAGUCCAGGGCUACGCACGCCCUAAUACUCUAUUUAUUCAGCAGCCGCCGCCACAUUUAGGUUUGGGGUUUUGCUUAGAUCAAUUCUAUCAUCGAACAGUGUCGCCGUCAUCGGCUUGUGAGACCUCCCUCCCGUAAUCAAUACAAGUUUGGUUGCGUUUCUUUCCUGUUCUUGCUUGUGUUCUUGAUUGCGCUUGCAGGGAUAAGCCUUCGUGGCGAGGUCAUUCGUGUGUCAUGGGUGAUAACCAACGGAGCCAUGGUGUAGUGAUUGCGAGGAACCGUUCGCUCGGAGCCUUGGAUCAUCAACGUCGAGAUCUCCACUCAAUCAAAUUAUCGUAUCUCACGGAAGAUUGGGCCGCGUCUACUAUCAAUUGGUAUCAGAUUUCUAGGUUGUCCGUGAGGUAUAAUUCUACCUUUAGAUUAGUUUUGUUUUGUCCCAUAGUCCACAAAAAGCCAAAAAAAUUACGAUCAGUUUAUUCCGACCUAAAACCAUUGCCUUAGCCUUUGCACAAUUCAGUUUUAGAGUCCGCAGUUCUGAGUUCGUGUUCUAGUUGAGUUUGGUUGCUGGAUUAGAUUUGUUUUGGUUCAGUUUGAUUGUAUCCAUCCGCUUCCAUCCUAUAAAACCGACCCUAUCCACAAAACAGAUCCUAUCUCUACAACCGAUCCUAUUCACAAAAUAGAUCCUAUCUCUACAAUCGAUCCUAUUCACAAAAUAGAUCCUAUCUCUACAACCGACAAUAUCCACAAAACAUAUCCUAUCUCUAAAACAGACCAUAUCCACAAAACAGAUCCUAUAUCUAAACCAACCAUAUCCAGAAAACAAAUCCUAUCCCUAAAACUGAACCUGUGCUCCAUAGCUGUCGCUUCGGUUCCUGCCGAGUUGUGCCUUUGAAAACCAUAACUUGAGGUACCUUCCAUAAAACGGGUAUAACUUUUCGCUCGGUGCUCCGUUUGAGCUCAAAUUUUUACAGCAGAUUCUUGACUCCAUUCUGGGGUGACCCAAACUCGCCUACGGCCUGUUUGGUUCGGUCAAAAAAUUCAAAAAAAUCGGGAAGAUAAUUAAAAAAUUGUUUAAGUGUUUUCACGAAUUUUAGAGAUCCUUUGUGAAUUUCUCUAGGCCACAAUACAACUCUGUUUCAAGUGAAAUUUUGUGUGUUUCCAUCCAUUGUGUUUUUGGAUCAGUGGUAAAAAAUUCAGAAUAUUUCGAGCUCUUUUGAUGGUACUCCUUUUGAAACGCGCCUUUGAUUUCUACUAGUGCUGAAAAAUCUGCCAUAUUUACAGAACUGCCAUUCCCACUAGAUACUUGUACCUCCUUUCUUGUGCUUUGGUCCAACUGUUCUAUUACAUUUUCUAGGCCAGCAACUAGGACGAGUACUUGGAACACUUAUUCAGCAUUGCUAUCUGUUACUGACUUGUGUGCCACAUAUAUAUAUUUAGUUAGCCUUCCCGUAGCUCCAAUUUUCUCUCGAGCAGAACAGGUACUCUUUUGCAAUCACACCCACGCUCGUUGGACAGUCACACCGGUCACCGUUUGCCACCUGCAGUGCUGGUAAGAACGUUGUAAGAGCGGGGUAAGACGCUUCAUAAUUUGUAUUCCACCACCUCCACCACCACCCUGAGAGAUAGUUGUAGGGUUCACAUUGUUUGUUGCCUUUUUGUCUCUGUUUUGUGCUAACAAUGACAGGACCAAAGAAUCAAAUGGACAAGGACAAGGGGCCUAAACUUAACGACGAUGAGUGUGUCUCUCAAAUGGAAUUGAAGGAGAUGAUGCGCGCGAUGACUGAAGCUUUUAAAAAAUACCAGGACUCUGCCUCGACAUCCUAUGAGCAACUUGAUCGACGAGUUGCUGAACUUGUUACACGCAUGGACGUACUGGAGGCUCGUCCCCCACCACCAACUCCAGCCCCAGCUCACUCUCCUGUGGACGACGACGACGAUGACGACGAUGUUUAUGCACCGCUGCGACAACGCCUCGCACGUAAUCGACAAGGUAUGGGAGGUAAUGGUAGACGUCGUCAUCAUAAUCCUGAACCAGACCAUGAUCCAUUUGCUAAGAUUAAGUUUUCUAUUCCACCGUUCAUGGGUUCUUAUGAUGCUGAAGCUUACUUAGACUGGGAGAUGACGGUAGAACAAAAAAUUAAUUCCCAUCUUGUUCCUGAGCAGCAUAGGGUUAGACAAGCCACUAGUGAAUUUAGAGAUUUUGCUAUCAUUUGGUGGAAUGAACUUGUUAACACACGUGCUGCACCACAAACAUGGAAUGCGUUAAAAGAGGAGAUGCGAGCUCGCUUUGUUCCCCCUUCUUAUAGACAUGAUCUUCGAAAAAAAAUUGCAACGCUUAGAUCAGGGAGACAUGUCGGUACAGGAAUACUACCAAGAACUUCAGAAAGGUAUGCUACGAUGUGGGGUAGUUGAGGAUCCGGAGGAUCAAAUGGUUAGGUUUUAUGGGGGAUUGAGGCGGGAGAUUCAGGAUAUUGUUGAUUAUAAAGAAUAUCAUUCUAUACAACGCUUGUUCCAUCUUUCUAUGUUGGCAGAAAAAGAAUUGUAGGGUCGUCAACAACGGAGGAGCAGCACUUUCGCUCCACGCCAGCCACCGGCGCCAGCCAAGGCGUCAUCAUCUUUGGGCGUACGGACGUCCACAUCUUCCACUGUACCUUCGGGUGUUGCAGCAAAACCUGCUACAACCACCUCUUCCACAGGCCGCUCCUCCGACAUCAAGUGCCACCGCUGCCAGGGACUUGGUCAUAUUCAGCGAGAUUGCCCCAGCAAACGGGCUACAUUGCUACUGGUGAUGGUGGGUAUGUUAGUGCUUCUGAUGUUGAAGAUGAAGAUACUGUUGGAGCUAACAUUGCAGAGACUUACGAAGGUGAUGAAGAGGUUCUUGGUACAACAGCGACCGAGACCUAUAAGGCCUUGAUUGUGCAACGAGCUUUGAGUACCACGGCUAGUGACGACGACAACAGACAGCGCCACAACCUUUUCAACAUGUUCCUCAUCGUCAAGGACUGCCGUGUACAUACCAUCAUUGACGGUGGUAGCUGCAACAACUUGGUGAACGUUGAGGUGGUCAAGAAGCUUGGCUUGACCACACGAGAGCAUCCCCACCCUUAUCACAUUCAAUGGUUUAACAACAGCGGUAAGUUCAAGGUAACAAAAACAACAAGGGUGCAUUUUUUCUAUUGGCUCUUACCAUGACUUUGCUGAUUUCGAUGUGGUGACUAUGGAUGCUUGCUCUCUUUUACUGGGACGUCCUUGGGAGUUUGAUACUGAUGCUAUUCACCAUGGUAGAUCUAAUAAAUAUACUUUUAUGCACAAGGGAAAGAAAAUUGCGUUGCUUCCUAUGACUCCCACUGAGAUUGUCCACUUUGAACAUGAGAAAAAGACUAAUGCUAAGCAAAAAGGUGUUUUGAACUCUGAAAAUCAGCAACCUAUUAAGUUAAAAACUCCUACUUUGCUAGCCACUAAAUCUGAUCUUGAUGAGUUACAUGCCUCUCUUGGACUUUGCUAUGCCUUAGUGUGCAAAAAUGCUUUCUAUUCCAUUGAUGAUACAUCUAUUGUCUUGCCACCUGCUAUUGCUAACCUUUUGCAAGAGUAUAUGGAUGUGUUUCCCUCCGAGAUACCCCCUGGAUUGCCACCUGUGCGAGGCAUUGAGCACAAGAUUGAUUUAAUUCCAGGGGCGAGCUUGCCCAACCGUGCUGCCUAUAGGACCAACCCCGAAGAGACUAAGGAGAUUCAGCGCCAGGUCCAAGACCUUCUGGACUGCGGGUACAUUCGUGAGAGCCUUAGUCCUUGUUUUGUUCCUGUUCUUUUGGUUCCUAAGAAAGAUGGCACUUGGCGCAUGUGUGUUGAUUGUAGAGCCAUUAAUAACAUCACAAUUCGGUACAGAUAUCCUAUUCCUAGAUUGGAUGACAUGCUUGAUGAAUUAAGUGGUUCUAUUGUUUUCUCUAAAAUUGACUUGCGUAGUGGAUACCACCAGAUUCGUAUGUCUUUAGGUGAUGAAUGGAAAACUGCAUUUAAAACUUAGUUCGGUCUUUAUGAGUGGUUAGUCAUGCCUUUUGGGUUAACUAAUGCGCCUAGCACUUUCAUGAGAUUGAUGAACGAGGUUUUACGUGCUUUCAUCGGUAAAUUUGUGGUGGUAUAUUUUGAUGAUAUUCUUAUCUAUAGUAAGUCUCAUGAUGAUCAUAUUGAACAUUUACGUGCUGUUUUUGAUGUUUUGUGUGAUGCACGUUUAUUUGGUAACCUUGAGAAGUGCACCUUCAGCACCGAUCGUGUGUCUUUUCUUGGAUAUGUUGUGACAUCGCAGGGCAUUGAGAUGGAUGAGGCAAAAAUUGUUGCCAUCACGAGCUGGCCACUUCCAACCACGGUCACGCAGGUUCGAAGUUUUCUUGGUCUUGCAGGAUUCUACAGGCGAUUUGUGCGGGAUUUCAGCACCAUUGCAGCACCUCUCCACGAGUUGACUAAGAAUGGAGUGUCGUUUCGUUGGGGACUAUCACAACAGCAAGCCUUUGAUGCCCUCAAGUCGAAGCUCACACAAGCACCACUGCUGCAACUUCCUGAUUUUGACAAGACAUUCGAGCUCGAGUGUGAUGCGAGCGGCAUUGGGAUUGGAGAGUGCUCAUUCAAGGAGGUAAACCUGUUGCUUUCUUUAGUGAAAAAUUGAAUGGUCCAACUCUGAAUUAUUCUACAUAUGACAAAGAAUUAUAUGCUUUAGUACGAGUUUUACAAACUUGGCAACAUUAUCUAUGGUCUAAAGAAUUUGUCAUACAUUCGGAUCAUGAAUCUUUGAAGUAUCUUAAGGGACAAUCUAAUCUAAACAAACGACAUGCUAAAUGGAUUGAAUUCAUAGAAUCAUUUCCUUACAUUAUUAAGCAUAAAAAGGAAAGGAUAAUGUAAUUGCUGAUGCUUUAUCUAGACGUUAUACUAUGUUGUCCCAACUUAAUCAUAAAAUAUUUGGUUUGGAGACUAUAAAGGAAUUAUAUGCUACUGAUUUGGACUUCAAAGAUGCUUUUGAAAAUUGCAGAGAGGGAAGAACGUGGCAAAAAUUUAUGCUGCGUGAAGGCCUUCUCUACCGUGCUAACAAGUUGUGUGUUCCAGCUAGCUCCGUUCGUCUUCUACUCUUGCAGGAAGCACAUGGAGGUGGCUUGAUGGGACAUUUUGGUGUUAAGAAGACCGAGGAUGUGUUGUUUACUCAUUUCUAUUGGCCUCGGAUGCGGCGUGAUGUUGAGCGCUACGUCUCUCGUUGCACCACGUGCAACAAAGCUAAGUCCCGACUUAACCCCCAUGGUCUUUAUUUGCCUCUUCCUGUUCCUCGUGCACCUUGGGAGGAUAUUUCUAUGGAUUUUGUUUUGGGAUUGCCUAGAACAAAGAGGGGGAGUGAUAGUGUUUUUGUCAUUGUCGAUCGUUUUUCAAAGAUGGCACAUUUUAUACCCUGUCACAAAACUGAUAAUGCUUCACAUAUUGCUGAUUUGUUCUUCACUAAGAUUAUGCGUUUGCAUGGUGUGCCAAAUACUAUUGUUUCUGAUAGGGAUGCUAAAUUUUUAAGUCAUUUUUGGAGAACUUUAUGGUUUAAAUUGGGAACAAAGUUGUUGUUUUCUACUACUUGUCAUCCCCAAACUGACGGGCAAACAGAGGUUGUUAAUCGCACUUUAUCUACCAUGUUGCGGGCUAUUUUGAAGGAUAAUUUGAGGUUGUGGGAGGAAUGUUUGCCACAUAUUGAGUUUGCUUAUAACAUAUCGAUUCAUUCCACAACCAAGCUUAGUCCAUUUAUGGUAGUAUAUGGUUUUACUCCUCGUGCCCCAAUUGAUUUGCUACCUUUACCACCUUCUGAAAUAGUGAACUUGGAUGCUACACAACGUUCUGAAUUUAUUCUUAAGUUACAUGAAACAACUAAGUUGCAAAUUGAAAAGAUGAAUGAAAAGUAUCGUAUUGCUGCUAAUAAAGGUAGGAAGGAAAUGAAAUUGGAACCUGGUGACUUGGUGUGGGUUCAUUUGAGAAAGGAUAGGUUUCCUGAUUUGAGAAAGUCUAAACAUAUGCCACGAGCUGCAGGUCCUUAUAAAGUUCUUGCAAAAAUUAAUGAUAAUGCAUAUACACUUGAGUUGCCGUCAGAUUUUGGGGUUAGUUCCACCUUUAACAUUUCAGAUUUGAAGCCAUAUAUGGGUGACGAAGAUGAGGCCGAGUCGAGGACGACUCCAAUUCAAGAGGAGGAGGAUGAUGAGGACAUCACUUCUAUAUAUACAAUGAAUGGACCGAUAACACGAUCUCGUGCACGACAGCUAAAUCUCCAGGUACGUUCUACCCUAGUCAAUUGUGUUUCAGAGCUUACGCUUGGGGCCAUGGAUGUUUUGAUGAUUACGUACCUUGGAGAGGACCAGCAAGGACUUGGUAAAGGCCAAGGUGUUGAGGAGGAGCAGCAAGGGCGUCCACAACAGGAAGGAGAUCAAGUCCGAGUCGGCUGCGACUCUAUCUCGGGUUCCAGGACCAGUCUGCACUAAAAUGGACGCCCAAGAUGCAUCCGGACUCCGAUUGUGACGAACUGGAUAUGGUUGGAAAGAUAACGAGAUUAUCUAACCAACCCAACUGGUUCCACCCUAAAAUUCAUCCGGAGUCAACGGGAAUCGUCGAAACAAGUCAGCGUUCAGAUUCUGUUUUGGUGCUGCGACACCGUCUGUUGGGCCGUUGGGCCGUGUAUCGCGUCGGAGCCCAUUAGGGGCGAGUCCAGGGCUACGCACGCCCUAAUACUCUAUUUAAUCAGUAGCCGCCGCCACAUUUAGGUUUGGGGUUUUGCUUAGAUCAAUUCUGUCAUCGAACAGUGUCGCUGUCAUCGGCUUGUGAGACCCCCCUCCCGUAAUCAAUACAAGUUUGGUUGCGUUUCUUUCCUGUUCUUGCUUGUGUUCUUGAUUGCGCUUGCAAGGAUAAGCCUUCGUGGCGAGGUCAUUCGUGUGUCACAGGUGAUAACCAACGGAGCCGUGGUGUAGUGAUUGCGAGGAACCGUUCGCUCGGAGCCUUGGAUCAUCAACGUCGAGAUCUCCACUCAAUCAAAUUAUCGUAUCUCACGGAAGAUCGGGCCGCGUCUACUAUCAAAGGACACAGGGCACAAAGCAUUUCCCGACCACGGAUAGGUACCAUGUGUUACCAUUCAUUUGUCACUUAUUUGAUUCUAUCUCAGAGGAAGAGUGUUCGUUCGGGCUAACGAAAUAUCUCAGAGGGACUCUUACUUCUACAAGAGCUUUUACACAAGUUAUCGACAUAUAGGAAUUCGACUACCUCAUCACUGUGUGAAGGAAAAGGUUCAGGAAGCUUGUGAUGCUCGGGAUGGACUGACUCCAUAUGCGCGAAAGAACUGAGAUCUUCAAUGAAAGCCCCCCAAUUUCAUCGACCCUUACUUAAUGACUGGUGAUGGGGAUUUAUGCUUUUAUUGCCUCGAAGACUUAUCAUUCUUACUUAAGCUUAAGAUCGAGACAGAAUAGUUGGGCACUGGCAUUCUCACAAGCUAUUGUAAGAGGAGAGAAUCACACCUUUGAUAAAAACUUUCUUUACAAGUAAAAACACCCUCCAAGGAUGAACGAUUUAUUUGCAUGAGACUGUUGGCACUACUACUUGUACUUGAUUUGAUUUUCUUGAACGAACAGCCGAGUAAAGAGUAACAUGGCCUAUGAAAGCUUGCUUUAAGUAGGCUACUAUUCAUUCUCUUUUAUGCUUCGCUACGCCCUAGUUAUCAUUUUUUAUGAAUUCAUUCCAAUAUCGAUGAAUGCGGUCCAUAGGGUAGUGAGCGGGAUAAAAUGAAACAAUGGAAGAAAGAAGAGGCGCACAGCGGGAAAGUAUCCCAAGUGGAUUGACUACUCCUGUUUUAUAGCUUAGGGAAAAAGAUCACUUACUCUCUUCGGUCCUCCUCUGAGAUUCUUUUUAGACUUUUGAUGUCGUCUAUUUGCCCAAUUCAGACUUGGUAGUUCCACGUAUACACACGAAGUGGCUCCCUUAUCUGGAAUUCCUUCUUUUCGUAAGCUUUGUGGAUGAGGGGCGGAGCGAGGAAGGGAUAUUGGAUUUGAAAGCCCUUGGCCCAGACGUAUUGAAGCUAGCCUAUAAAAAUAAAGAUUAUAGGGACUUACACUGAUUGAUCCUCUUUGUAAGGAACAUGCCUAGACUAGCACUUCUACUUAUGUAUGAAGGUGGAUCUGACUCCAUUCUUUUGAUUCCCCUCCUCUAACCUCUUUAAAGAUAAAGCAAAAGGCUAUUAUAUUAGGAGGCUUGGGUCAAAGAGCUACUACUUGACAAAAGAGCUACUUCAACAACUACUUAUUCGGUCUGCUUUCGGUUUAAAGUUCUUUAGUUAGAACUUUUUGGGCACGCACAAAGAUCACGUGAACUCAAUGGUGUGCGUAGGGUAACUAACGAAGCACUAAAAGAAGGCAAGAGCAUGCCUCACUCACUGAGCACAAUGCCCUACCUACCAUCUCGAUUCUCAACGAAUUGGAUGCUCACCACAUAUUUAGUAUAUGGGUGUAUGCUCGCGAAACCUACUUCACUCCCACCCACCUCUGAUUGCAUUAGCCUGCUGAUUGAUCCCGGCAAGGAAUGUGGUUCGGCAAAGGAUAAUUUCAAUAUUAUUUCUUUGGAUUUACUUUUUAUGAAAGCGAUGAUUCCAUCUAAUUUUCAUUCUCCCUUCCUUUUUUCAGACUUAGACUAGAAGCUAGCGCUUUUUGGCAUCACUUAAAUAAAAUAUCCGACAUCAUCUUUUGGACAAGAUCCUCUUCGUUCUUCUUCCGGGUUAAAGGGCGAAAGAAAAAGGGCAAAGGAAAAGGCCACCUCAUCAAUAUCAGGAUACUCUGAGGGUUGCAAGUUUUGAUGCACCCGAGCCAAAUCUGACUUUUUUGAGUAAAGCCUUAUGAUGUUUUCAAUUUAUUAAGGAAAGAGGCUUCUUUGCAAAGAAAAGGGAUAGCGCUAGGAAUAUCAAUAGCGUACGGAUAGCAUUAUUCCAUUCCAUUGCUAUUUUCCUUCGUUUCGUAAAGUAUCGUAAAGUAAAGUAAACUCAGGGUUUCCCGUACUCGGAUGGUUGCUUCUACGUCAAUUCAUGGAAAGCUGCCACCAUGGUUCGUGAUUGGGCACAAGAGAGAGAGAGAGAGAGAGUCAAGCGAGUUUCAGUAGGUUCGGGCCGCUUCCUGUGGAGGCUUUGUAUGUGGGAAGUGUUUACCAGUGGUAUCUACCGAGUUGUGAGGUGCUAGAAUGAGAUGAAAGUGAAGGGGAUCUCACUUGGCCUUAUAUACACGACCGUAGGGUGCUUCCCGCGUACAUGUUGAUCACAUUUUUCCUGCUUAUCUCCUAGCUAAUAACGAACAACCUUCGCUGCCCCGAGGAAAACUCGACACCUCUGCUCCGAGCUAUCUUCUACGUUUUAGGAUGUCGGGCGCGGGAAAAACAAACGGCCUCAACGCGAUCACACCAAAGCCGCGAUUAAUCCGGGCGUGGGCCCAUCGCUCUCCUGGGUCGGCCCGUUUCCGCCGUUUCCCUCUGCCCAGCCCACGGCGAGAUGUCAUUGAGAGGCGACUGGCAUGUGGCCCUAGGCAGAGUUUUUGCUCCCGAGUGGAACCGGGGGAUAUUUGUCUCCCACACACUGACCUAUCAUAUUAGAGCAAGGUUAAUAGUGCAGACACACCAACAAUAAAGCCCACACAUAUCAUAAUUGGUUGUUAGAUUGACUCAUAAUGCACACACAGACUCGCGCGAGCCAUGCCGACCGGAUACGGUUGUUUCCACCGUAUGUGUAGAUGCAGAUAAAUAUUUUUAAAAUAGCUUAUUUUGCAUCUGUUCAUGCAGUUCGUGCUCUUCAUAUACAGCCAACCAAACAGACGUUCAACGAAAGUCAAUAUACGUGCUGGUUCAAAACGAGAAGAUGCAGGUAACCAAUCAUGUGGAUAGUGAAAAGCAUUUAAUGCUUGCAUGUAAAUGGGGAAGUAAGAAAGACACAUUUGCUGUUAGCUGAGAAUUUAAGCUAAUUAAUUCAGCUACAAUUAAUAGAGACAAAAUAAUGUAGAAAAAGUAGAAUCCGUUUUGGAAUAAAAUGCAAUGGAGAGGUCAGGUGAUAAAGUGAAUAUUUUUGCCUCAUACCAUGUGCUGCUCGUGAUAAAAUUAAAAUGAACUGAGCCGAGUCGUGGCAAACUGACCACAAGCCGACCAAGUUCACGACAGUGGCCCUACCGGAGACGGAGAGGAGCACCGUCCACCGCCAUGUCCUCCACUCCAACCCAAGCAAGGCACAUAUACCCCCGUCCCAUCGUAUACGAAUCACAGACAAAGCACGAGCGGUGGUAGCUGGCCAGCCACCAUGGCUCCACCACCUCUGUUCCCGCUCCCGCCUCUCCUCAUCCUCCUCGUCAUCGUGCCUCUGUUCCCCACCGCCGCGCGGACGGCCACGACGCUGCCGCUGUACCGCCACCUACCGCACGUAGCCGAGGCCGUGGCAUCGCACCACCACCCGCUGUCCCGCCUGGCCGCCGCGUCGCUGGCCCGCGCGUUGCACCUCAAGCGCCGGGACCCCAACCACCACAGCCAGAAAGGAUCAGGCGGCCACCCGUCAGUACCAGCCACCGCCGCGCUGUACCCGCACUCCUACGGCGGCUACGCCUUCACGGCGUCGCUCGGCACGCCGCCGCAGCCGCUCCCCGUGCUGCUCGACACCGGCAGCCACCUCACGUGGGUGCCAUGCACCUCGAGCUACGAGUGCCGCAACUGCUCCUCCCCAUCCGCCUCCGCCGUCCCGGUCUUCCACCCCAAGAACUCCUCCUCCUCCCGCCUCGUGGGCUGCCGCAACCCCUCCUGCCAGUGGGUCCACUCUGCCGCGAACCUCGCCACCAAGUGCCGCCGCGCCCCCUGCUCCCCCGGCGCCGCCAACUGCCCCGCCGCCGCCAGCAACGUCUGCCCGCCCUACGCCGUGGUCUACGGCUCCGGCUCCACAGCCGGUCUGCUCAUCGCCGACACCCUGCGCGCGCCGGGCCGCGCCGUCCCCGGCUUCGUCCUCGGAUGCAGCCUCGUGUCCGUGCACCAGCCGCCGUCGGGCCUCGCGGGCUUUGGCCGCGGCGCGCCGUCCGUGCCCGCGCAGCUCGGCCUCCCGAAGUUCUCCUACUGCCUCCUGUCCCGCCGCUUCGACGACAACGCCGCCGUGAGCGGCUCGCUAGUCCUCGGUGGCACCGGAGGCGGCGAGGGCAUGCAGUACGUGCCCUUGGUGAAGAGCGCGGCGGGCGACAAGCUGCCGUACGGCGUGUACUACUACCUGGCGCUGAGGGGCGUGACGGUGGGCGGGAAGGCGGUGCGGCUCCCGGCGCGGGCGUUCGCGGCCAACGCGGCGGGGUCCGGCGGCACCAUCGUGGACUCCGGCACCACGUUCACGUACCUGGACCCGACCGUGUUCCAGCCCGUGGCGGACGCGGUGGUGGCUGCGGUGGGCGGGCGGUACAAGCGGUCCAAGGACGCGGAGGACGAGCUGGGGCUGCACCCCUGCUUCGCGCUGCCGCAGGGCGCCAGGUCCAUGGCGCUGCCGGAGCUGUCGUUCCACUUCGAGGGCGGGGCGGUGAUGCAGCUCCCGGUCGAGAACUACUUCGUGGUCGCGGGGCGCGGCGCCGUGGAGGCCAUCUGCCUCGCCGUCGUCACCGACUUCAGCGGAGGCUCCGGGGCUGGGAACGAGGGCAGCGGCCCGGCCAUCAUCCUCGGCAGCUUCCAGCAGCAGAACUACCUGGUGGAGUACGACCUGGAGAAGGAGAGGCUGGGGUUCCGCCGGCAGUCAUGCACGUCGUCGCCGUCGUGAGGUCUCACGACGUCGGCAUGGCGGGGAUCGGAGUGGAGGCCAGUAAUUACUCCAGAGUCCAGUCCACGUAACGCUCCAAAUUCCAAUUCCAAAAGCUGGCUGCUUGAUCUUUUGUUAGUGCUCGUGUACUGCUAAUAAAAACUAAAUUUACUGUCAUCUACUACUACUAUUAAGUUAUUGAAAGACGUGGCUUGCUUUGGGUUUCAUUGGUAGUUUUACUUUUAACCCCUUUAAUUUGGUAGUGGACUAUCAUGGGCUUGUGUGGAAUGUUUGUGGGCCUAUCUCUCUUGUCGCAUGCCUUGAUUGCGUGUGGUUGUGGUGGGUACCUAAUUUACUGACAUGUCAGUGGCAAUUGUAGGAGGCAGGGCAUGUGCCAUUGAUCGGCAUACGUACUCCAUAGCAAGAGGGAAGGGCCAAAUGAGCAUGGGCCCUUUGAAGUCGUGUCAGAAAAACAAACUUGUCUUGUGGCCACCAGGGCGCACGAGCGUUAUUCGCUGUCCACGGCGAUGUACAGCAGCAGCAGCAGGCAGAGUAUCCCUAUCCUAACAGCCAAAAAUCAGAACCACACUUUGCAAUCCGUGGGCUGAAAGGGCGAGGCGCUGGCGGCGGCGGGGACGGGGACGGGGACGGAGAGCGUGCACGUGAUCUUCGCGUUGGGCCCGUGGGCCUUGAACGCCCAGAACUUGACCCUGAGCUUGGCGUUGAGAUCCACGUCGACGUCGAAGCGCCCCGCGGACUGCUGCUGCCUGAACUGGGCGGCGGCGACGUCGCCCUGGAGCAGCUGCGUGCCGCGGAACCCCGGCGCCAGCUUGGUGGCCGCCCCCGUGCCCUGAUAGAAGGCGUCGAGCGGCGCGUAGCCGAAGCGCUGGCCCUCGUACGAGGCCAGCGCCUGGACGUCGUCGUAGUAGAGCCCCACCCGCGUGUUGGGGUUGCGCACCGUCAUGGUGACGUUGAGGUCGUAGGCGAGCGUGGAGGAAGCGGAGAGCGCGAACUGGGAGAGCGAGGCCGAGUCGACGGUGGCCGCGAUCAUGCGCGGCUUCAAUAUGAGGUAGAGGGCGAGGGCCAGGAGGCCCAGCGUGACGGCGAGCGAGACGAGGAUGCUGCACAGGCAGCUGAAGAGGCACCUGCAGGGGCAGCACAGGCACGAGAUGGCGCGGCUCGCGGAGCCCAUGGCGGUGGUGGCCGGGGUUUUGGUAAAUCCGGGACGGCGGUGGAGGGAUUUGGAUCGGAUUUGGUGGUUCGUGCGGUGGUGGCUGGGUUAUAUCUAUAUGCAAGGGAAAGGGACGCCGGGAUGAACGGCGACGCGGUUGUGUAAAUGCAAACUGCUCCGCCUGCGGAUUGGAGAUCGGGGAAGUGGAAGGCACGGCGAAGUGGCUGCCGGCCGUGGUGGAGAUACGAGGAGGCGCCGCAAGCACAUGGGUUGCUUGGGUGGGUCGUUUGGGCGUCCCGAGUCAGGCCAGCCACAAUCCCACGCCGUCUCGUCCAACGUUCACAGAAACAAAUUGCAUUUGCUGCCGUGUGUGCAUCACAACUUCCCCCACUUCGUUCAGCAUCGGUGGAUCCAUUGAUAAAGACGCGUCACGACUCACUAUCGCACUGUCUCAUUUCAUUCCUUCCAUCUAUCCAUGGGCCAGGAAUCAUACCCCUCGUUCCAAAAGUUGAAGAAACAUUUUUAAAAAAAUCAACAGUUUAGACACAUAUAUCUUUUGAACUGCUUAUAUAAGUGUUGAACACUAAAAUUGACAGCACUGAUACCGUUGGACAGUCCACUGGAAGCUCAUACGGUUCGUCCCCUCACAGUCCGACUUAUUAGCCCGGACCGUCUGAGACCAGAUAAGUUUGAGUGAGUUCUGAUUUGUUGUGAGAUCUUCUCUGUUUCUUACGUUGUCUUGUUGGACUUCGGUUACUAUAAGAUUGAGACAUUUCCCCUAUAAAUAUGAAGGAGUACAUCUCGAACACACUCAAUUCAAUUGAAACAUUCCAAUUACCUCACUUAUCUUCAUGCAUUAGGCUUGGAUGUAGCGUAGCUCUAGUUGUAGUUCCUCGAUCUCAGUCUUAGCUCUCUUCGCCUCUACAUCAUUUAGAGGCGCUUUGAGUGGCCUGCCGACACCAAAGCAAUCCUAUGAUCCCUCUCCCUGACGAAGUCUCUCUCGGGAGGCGAGAUCUAGAUUGUACAUGAAGUCAUCUACGCCAUCAUAGAGAAGAGCGUGGUUAUUUGUGCGCAUUGCAAACGGUCCUCUGCGUCAUCUCGGAGAGAAGUCCCAAGGUCCUACGUGUCGCGCACAAGCUCUAAAGAUCAUUAGUAUUUAGCCAAAGACGCCAACAAUAAGUUGAUCACUAAAGUGCUUACAAUAUGGCUUGAACCUUUUGCUCGAAAACUUUUCAAUGAGCAACAAACUGUCUUCAUAAGAAGGGGAGGCACAUUAUGAGUGGUGCGAUGAUCUUACAUGAACCCAAAAGAAGAAAAGAGACUAGGACUGUACUCAAACUUGAUUUUGAAAGAAACAUAUGAUCAAGUCAACUAAGAUUUUAUGUUUCAUUGUUUUUAGGAAAAAAAGGCUUUUGCAAAAAAAAAUGUCCUUAACGCGUAUGGUUGUUAAAGAGGGCACCGCCAGUAUUAAGAUCAAUAAUCAAAUUGCUAGAUACAUAAAAAGAUGUAAAAGAGUUAGACAUGGUGAUCCUCUAUCACCUACCUAUCCAAUUUUGUUGGUGACAGCUUGGCUAGAAUGUUUGUCAAAUGUCACGAAAACAAUGCUAAAUGGACUUGGUAAACAUAAUAUUCUCUUGAAACGAUGAUCUGGAAUGAUUUCUAGUCAGAUUUUUUGUGUAAUUUAUAUAAGUUUUGAUGAGUUGGAAUGAUUUAUGGCUGGAAUACACCACAAACUAACAAGGUGUAAAUAAUUUGGGAUUUUGUAAAGUCAGAUCCAACGGUGAGAACCCAACCGGCAUCAAGGGGCCUACUGGUCGGCGAGACAAAAUCCUGAGACGCUUAAACCCCAUGGCGCCACUGGCCCGUGUUCUCCACUGAUGGUGGACACCUCCACCUCCCCCCAUUCCGCCGCCGGCGGCGGCACCAUCAUCGACGACCUCCACGGCUUCCUCCGCCACCGUCUACGCACCCACUCCUCCGUCCUCUGCGCCCACGCCUUCCUCUUCCGCCGUGGCCUCCUCCUCGGCCACCCCGUCCCCGCCGGCCUCCUCCUCACCGCCUCCGCCUGCUCCGCCGCCUCGCCGCCCGCUCACAUCCUCCGCCUCCUUCGCCACCUACCUCCUCCCCUGCCGCUCUUCUCCCUCGAUGCUGCACUCCGCGCCCUAGGCCCUCGCAUCCCUUUCUCCGCCCUCCUCUCCCUCUUCGCGGCCCUCCUCCGCUCCCACCACCCGCUAUUCCCCGACCACUUCUCCUUCCCGCCUCUCCUCUCUGCUGCCGCCUCCUCCACCUCUCCGCGGCUCCACUUCCGCUCCGCGCUCGCUCUCCACGGGCAGCUCCUCCGCCGCGGCCUCCUCUUCUCUUCGCCGCCCCACGCCGCCAACGCCCUCUUCCACUUUUAUGCCACUGCCGGCGGCAUCUUGUCCGCCCGCUACCUGUUCGACGAAAUGCCAUUCAGGGACAUCGCGUCCUGCAACACCCUGAUGACGGCCUUAGCCAGAACACCCAGUGGCUUGGAUGCCGCACGCCAGGUUUUUGAGGGAAUGCACUUGAGAAAUGUGGUGUCAUGGAACGUCAUGAUUAACGGAUACGUCAAGGCGAAGCAGCCUGAGCAGGCACUGGAGGUGGUCCGGUGGAUGGCAGAGGUAGGAGUUAGGGGAACGGCAAUAACCAUGGUUGGGGCAGCCACAUCAUGUGCUAGGCUGGGGAGGUUGGGGGCUGGGAGGGAGGUGCACUGUGCGUUUUUGCGCCGUUUUGAGGAUGAUAACCUGUUGGUUUGGACUGCAUUGAUUGAUAUGUAUGGCAAGUGUCGGAGGGCUGGGAUUGCGAGGAAGGUGUUUGAUCAGCUCAGAAUGAGGAACCUGGUAUGCUGGAACGCGAUGAUCAUAGGGCACUGUGUGUAUGGUGAGCCUGUUGAUGGGAUCAAACUGUUCCAGCAUAUGAUUGCACUAGGUGGGUUCAGAUUUCCAGGAUUAGUUCUUCAGGAAGCAACAUAUUGCUACAUUUGCGUUUUUCAACUCUUUCUAUAUAUCUAACUCCUUUGCUGCCUUUUCAGGGAAUGUGCAGCCAGAUGGAGUCACUUUCAUUGGUGUUCUCUGCGCCUGUGCCCGUUUAGGCCUCUUGGAGGAUGGAAAGGCAUAUUUUGAGCAGAUGAACACCACAUACAACUUCAAGCCGACAUUUUCGCACUACUGGUGCAUGGCUAAUCUGUAUGGGAGUGUUGGGCUUCUGGAAGAAGCCGAGGGCCUCUUACAGAAUAUACCAGAGGAUCUGAAGGCACGCGCAUUGGGUGGUUUGCUUGGGCUGUGUCGGUUCCGGAGGGAUUGGAGACUUGGGGAACGUAUAGCUCUCAGGUUGAUUGAGCUUGAACCAAGUAACAAUGCUCACUAUGCCCUGCUUUGCAAUGUGUACGCUGCUGCAGGGAGAUGGGAAGAAGUUCACAGGGUGAAGGCUAUCAUGAAAGAGAGAGAUGAGAGGUUCAGCCCUGGACAUCGUCUGGUAAACUUAAAUGAGAUUGUUGAUGAAUUCAAAAUUAGGGAGAGGCAACCUGAGAAUCAGGAGAUAUAUUUCAUCCUGGACGACUUGGUCUCAAAGCUGAAGCUUGAUUGCAAAGAAAAGGAGAAAAAUGAUUUUUGAAUAAAAUAACUCAAAUACACACCUGGGGAUCAUUUUGGUGCUGCACAGGUUUCGAAUGGGCAGCUUCAGGAGGUUAAGUUAGGUUGGGUAUGAAGUGGUGCAUCUUCAGAUGUGUCAUUUGUGCAGAACCACUCUCUGAUUAUGUAGUUGCUAAAAUGCUUGGCAUCAGUAGUUGGUAGUUGCCAAAAGUGACAAUUAUGGUACGGUUGAGAUGGACAGGAAGAACGAAGAAGUAACAAGCCAUGGGAAGCAAAGAUAACCUUUCUGUUAUUGCCCUCUAACACAAACUGAACAUUCUCUAACAAGAACACAAGUAUUUUCUGCAAAAGUUUUGGUCAAUUGAUACCUCAGUCCUUUUUCUAAAUGUGUCCGACUGUCCGUGCCUUGUACUAUCUUGUGCUUGGGAUCUGGCCUUGAGAAUAAGAUUGCAUAUUUGCGUGGAGGUAAUACUUGGGUUUUGACAGUAGCUAAGUUACCCUGGUAUAUGUCUUCAGGUAUUCAGCCUGUCAGGUACAAGUAUUUCUGAAGACCAUAGAUUAACACUUGAGUUAGACAAGUUGACCACUGUCCUCGCUGGCUUUGUUACUGGGAUGGUAGAACCGCUAGUUGACAUUCUUUGGUGGCUUAUCCUUUUAUCUUCUUCCUCACAAUGUGAUCUGGGGUGUGACUGUGAGUGUGUUAUAUGCUUUGAAGCACAAGAGAGACAAGUUUGACCUCAACUCAAGGUUACUAUUAUUCUUCAGAACUCUUUUAUUUUUAUAAGAGAUUAAUUUUCAUCUAUAAGCAUCCUGAAAAGUGCUUUUCCUUUGGUUCGUGCAUCAGGAGAGCUGGCUCUUGCUCUGCAGUUCUUGGCUUCAAUCAAUGGUGUCACAGGCUCCAAAGCCUUUGACGGAGUUACAUAUGUUCCUUGAACUCUCUGGUCGGAUUUCUGAGAUCUUUUGAGUUUAUACCCUGAGAUCUGAGAACACUGAUAACUGGCAUCAGUUGGAAAUUUGUGUUCGUGGUGUUCUUCCUCAGCUGAUGAUAUGGCAUUUAGUUACUUUUUCUAUAAGAAAAUCUGAACUACUGUGGUGUCUUCCAUUGUCAUCAGUCAUAAGAAUUUAUAUCAUUUCAUGAACUGGACAUUGUAAUACCAUCACGAAAGUUAGUGUCAUUCCAGAGAAUGGUGGGAUUCUACAGCAAACCGGGAAGUUGUUCUGUCUCAUUAGGAGAGCAACAGAGGGUUGUGAUGGUCAGUAUUUACUAGCAGGCCACCAUUAUUUUGCUAUCUUUUAUUUUAUUUUAUACACCGUUAGAUAUCUGAAAGUCACUGUCUUAUUUUUGUCAGGCUCAUUGUUUUUCCACCAUCCUAGCUCCCAAGUGUGGUAUCAUCGACGAGUGCCUCAAGUAGGUAUUCUAUGACACUGCUCUUUAUUUUCUAUUUUCCUUUCUCUUUGCUGAUCAACCGUUGUACUCGAUUGCAGUGCAGGCUGCUAGUGUUGAUGUAGAAGAACAUUCAUCAUCUGUACAGGCCUGCAACUAACUAACAUGGCACGCCCGUGGUCACUUCUUCACAACAUACCCUAUACUGUUAGUCAAAACUGUAGGCUGCUCGGAACAAACUGGCGGCGGCGGCGAUAGCGGCUGCUGCUGGUGCUGACUGCUGAACAAUCAUCAUCCCGUAACAGAAACAGAAGAGCAAAUUAAGAAUUUAAGUAAUCAAAGAAUCGUUAUUUCUCUGUUUGGGAGGCUGUGUACUGUACACGAACAAGAAGAAUUCAGUUUGGGAGCUCGAGGCCGUAGAGCACGCCGGCGCACGGCUCCAAGCUGCCUUCCUUGGGGAAGUAGAUCCUAGCCAUCUCCCGGAAGGUGUCCCAGGUGAGCACGCUGUCGGACGCUGCCUGGUGUCCUUGGCCCGCUGCGCGGCGCACCCGGAGCGCGGCGGCGACGCGCUCGAGGCCGCCCAGCAGCGCGACCUCGCCGUGGGAGGCGCAUGCGACCCUGGCCAUGUGCUUGACGUCGUAGACGGCGGCGCCGAAGUAGACGCGGACGUAGCGCAGGAAGUCCGGGAGCGCCCUUGGCAGCUUCCGUCCCAUGAGCAGCUUGACGAGGUAGGCGAAGUCAUAGGCGGAGCUGAAGGUGACCCACGCGACGGCCGGGUUGCAGAUGAGGCCCGACGAGGCGAGCAGCGCGGCGAAGGCGCGCGCGGGGACGCCCCUGGCGCGGUGGGCGGCGAGGUCGAGGCCGCUGGCGGCGAGCAGGCGGACCGAGUCCGGCGCGUGGCGGUGCACGCGCGGGUCGAAGCCGCGGAGGUUGAUCUGGAAGGCGAGCGCGGGCGGGGAGCCAGGGGACGGCGCCAGGGCCAGGCCGACCUGGAUGAGGUGCAGCGCGUCGACGUUGGACUUGAGCAGGGCGUAGCGCUGCGGCGCGGUGAGCGUGGAGUGGUGGACGGCCGGGGGAGGGUGGUGGAUGACGCCCGGGAACUCCGUGUCCAUGGACACGUAGGGGAACCGCUCGAUGGCGGCGCGGAUGAGCUUGAAUUCGCGGUCCACGUUGUCCGCCCACACCUGACGGAUCUCAAGGGGAUGGUGGUGGUGGCGGUGCUUCUGCUGCUGCUUCGGCCUCCACCCGCCGGCGCCGCCCACCUGGACCUCGACCUCGACUGAAGGCAUGUUAGUGGCAAGGCUUGUUGCGCACUUCUACUUGUGCAGGUUCCGAUCCGAUGACUGCCGCCGAGACGCGAAGGCUCUAGAGGAGGCUGGAGCGAUGGUGGUGGCAUGUUGCUGUGGCUGCCGAGGUUUUAUAGGGAAUGGAUCGGAUGGAGGAGGGAGGUGUGCAGUGCAGGGCCGGCAGGAGGGUGCGAGGAACGGGAGGACCGGAGGAGGAAGCCGGCGCGCGCGUGGAGAUCCGUGCGGCGACAGGGAUCGACGGUGGGUGGACGCUGCACAACUUGCACGCGUUUAAUUAUGGCGUGGCGUGGCGUGCGGUGCGGGGAGAAAAAUUGUUAAUGAUUGGGCCCGAUCCGACCAGCAGGCACCGCACCACCAGCUGGACUCACUGGCCUGUUCAACCGACUGGGUCUGGGUCUCCCGCCGCCGUUGCCGGGAACGCGGCGGCGUCGUGUGCUUUUUACACGGUCUUGCUUUCGCCUUCCCCGUGGAAAUUGCGCCGUCCCCCGUGCGCGUACGUACCACUCGUUGACUAGCCCCCGUCUCCUCUGGUGGGCUUGGGCAGUCCACGGAGGGCAACACCGCUAUCCAUACACCGUACUCCUACAUGUGAUGUGACGUGGCAAACUAGUUAGGUCUUGUUCGGUUAAUCCCGUUACUCCUGAGAUUGAAAAAAAAUUAAGAAGGAGAUUGACUUAUUUGAGAUUUAAAUCCACCCAAUCCCAAUCAAUCCAUGUGGAUUGAGAGCUAACCGAACAAGCACUUAGUUGGAUUAGUAAAUCCAUUAGAUCGAUUUUGAAGACUUAAUGUAGUUUGCUGAAAUAGUUUUGCAGAUGGAUUGAAGACUUAAUUGUCAGAAAAGAAGGUGGGUUGUUUGAGAAUAUAGAAGAUAAUCUGAAAAUGUUUGAUAUUCCACCUAGCUUUUGUGUUCUUUUUCUACGGACAAAGAAAAACUUCGAUGAUGACGAUUUCACAUUAAAGGAGAGGUUUGAUAGUGGACAGAGCAGGGCACAUUACGUAUUCAUGCCCUUGUGUAAUGAGGGUCAUUGUUCAUGUUAUAGAAUGGUAGUGCAAGGGUCCAAUAUGACAUUGCCUAAGGUUUUGGUGGAGAAUGGAUAUAGAAGGUCCUUUGAUGGUCUUAUAGUCGAUGAACAACAAUAUAGAACCAAUGAAGAUGCAACACCAGACAACCUAGGAGCCACUUAAGGUUUCUCUAAUGAAAGUUGGUGAAUCAAUUCAUUGUUCAGGAAGCUUCUCAACAAUAGCUUUUGACAUUGGUUCAUAUGGGCAAUACAGGUGGGAGGAAAAGAUUGUUGAUGAUGAUAACAACAAUUCAUAUGAUUCUGAAGAAAAGGAUUACAAUUACGAAGAAUGUACCUCAACAGAGGGACUCAACUGUUACUUAGGAUCGAUGGAUGAUAGAGUGGUCAUAGAUAUGUCCAUUCAUACUCAUGGUUAGUGAGUACACUUCAUGUGAGAGGUUAGGCGAAGCACAACAGUACAUUCACCUAAGCCUUGCAUAGCUACUAAUAUGUGACAAUUAAACUCAAUAAACAUUGAUUUUUGUGGCAUUCCACACUACAGGGACAUUCGAAUGACAGGUAAGGUCAUUCACGACACCAGUCUACAAUUAUGUAAGAAAUAAUCAUACGACCCUUGGGAUGGGACAAUUAGUAGCAUGGUAUUCAAUACAUUGUCUAUGUUCAAGCCCUUUCUUCAGGACUAUAUGGUGCAUCACCAUAGACCAGUACACAUUCAAAUCAAAAUAGGAGUUACUACAUGGUAUGCAAGAAAGGUUGUCUUUGGAGGGUUUGAGAUCAUAAGAAGUCCAUUGAUGGAAAAUGGAGGAUAACGAAAGUGGUUCAACCACACACAUGUCUAAUAAAUAAGGGAAAGAGUGCAUUCUCAUCUCAUGGCACAUUAUCUAGCCAGUCACAUAUUGGGCCUCAUAGAUGAGGAUACAAUAUUUCUAUGGUGGUGUUGAUUUGUUUCAUAGUGGGCUUCAAAGGUUACACUCUUAAGCAUGAAAAUAGUUUGGCAUGUGAAAGGGAAAUAGGGAUUAACCUUUUCCUAUAAAUAAUUUUGGUGGUUGAAUUGCCAACACAAAUAAUUGGACUAACUAGUUUGAUCUAGAUUAUAUAUUCUACAGGUGCAUAAAGGUCCAACACAAUCCAAUAAAAGAUCAAAGUUAGGGUUCAAAAGAAAGGAGCAAAAGAAACCGAAGAGUACCCUGGUCUGGCGCACCGGACUGUUCGGUGUGCCACCGGACAGUGUCCAGUGCACCAGGGUCGUACGACUCUGAACCUUCACCUUUGGGUUUCUCAGGCGUCGCUCCGCUAUAAUUCACCAUACUGUCCGGUGUGCCACCGGACUAUCCGGUGCACCAGCGGAGCAAUGGCUAUCAGCGCAACGGUCGACUGCACAGUGCCCCUGACAGCGCUACAGUUUGUGGCAGAAGUCAGAGCAGAGGCCAGAGGCGCACCGGACAGUGAACAGUGCCUGUCCGGUGCGGCACCGGACUGUCCGGUGCCACCAGAAGUCAGUGCUCCAACGGUCGACUCCGUCAGAACCCUAACGGUUGGGUGACGUGGCUGGCGCACCGGACUGUCCGGUGCGCCCAUCGACAGCAGCCACCCCAACAGUUGUUUUAGUGGUUGAGGGCUAUAAAUACCCCCAACCAUCCAAGCAUUCAACACUCUCCAUUCAAUACAAGAUCAAAGUGCAACACUCCAAAGACACAAUUCAAGUGAUCAAUCCAAUCAAAGUUCCCGAUUCAAAUCUAGUGCAUUAGAACUUGUGAGAGGAUCAUUUGUGUUUCUUUGUUGCUCUUGUUUGCUUGGCUUGGCUUUCUUUUCUUUCUCACUUCUUACUCUCAAGUGCUUUGUAAGAGAGGCAAGAGACACCAAUUGUGUGGUGAUCCUUGCGGGAUCUAAGUGACCCGUGAGAUUAAGGAAGAAGCCUCACUCGGUCUAGGUGACCGUUUGAGAGAGGGAAAGGGUUGAAAGAGACCCGAUCUUUGUGACCACCUCAACGGGGACUAGGUUCUUUAGGACGAUGCAUUAAAUGCUUUAUAGCCAUUGAUAUAGCCGUUACUGCUGACCGUUGCGAUUUUAGCCGUUGAUGUGCAGGGGCGGACCGUCCGAACUAGGGGCGCGGACCGUCCAUGGUUGGCAGAAAGUGAGCAACGGCUAGGAAGUGGUUGGCGGCUAUAAAUACAACCACAACCACCUCCAUUCACUUUACCCAAGCACUCCAAUCCUUCACAUUCAAUACAAGAGCUAGCAAUCCAUUCAAAGACACAAUCAAAGCUUCCAAUCUCUCCAAGUUCCACAAUUAAGACAAGUGAUCAUUAGUGAUUAAUGACUUGAGAGAGAGUGUGUGAUCUGUGUAUUAUUUGUCGCUCUUGUUGCUUGACUUUUGCAAUCGUGCUUUCUUCUUAUCCCAUUCUUAUUCUCAAGUGACAUGUAAUCAAAGCAAGAGAUACCAAGUGUGUGGUGGUCCUUGCGGGGUCUAAGUGGCCCGUUUGAUUAAGGAGAAAGCUCACUCGGUCUAAGUGACCGUUUGAGAGAGGGAAAGGGUUGAAAGAGACCCGGUCUUUGUGACCACCUCAACGGGGACUAGGUUCUUUGGAACCAAACCUCGGUAAAACAAAUCACCGUGUUCAUCCUCUUUAUUUCUUGGUUGAUUUGUUUUCCCUCUCUUUCGGACUCGGAUUUAAUUCUAACGCUAACCCCGACUUGUAGUGUGUGCUUAAGUUUGUAAAUUUCAGAUUCCGCUUAUCCACACCCUCUAGGCGACUUUCAAUUGGUAUCAGAGCCUGGUGCUUCAUUAGAGUUUAACAACUCGAAGUGAUGUCGGGAGAUCACGCCAAGAGGGAGAUGGAAACGACCACAAGCAACGGGGAGGCUCCAUCAAGGGAGUCCGGCGCCAAAGGAAGGGAGGAAUCACGUCCCCGCGUCAAGUCACACUUGAGUGGCGACAAAAAGAAGAAAAAUGAAGAAAGUGGUCUACUACGAGACCGAUUCUUCGUCACCCUCCACAUCUGGCUCCGACGCGUCGUCCGUCACUUCUAAGCGCCAUGAGUGCAAGAAGUUUAGUAAGAUCCCCUUACGCUAUCCUCGCAUCUCUAAACACACUCCUUUACUUUCCGUCCCAUUAGGCAAACCAUCGGUUUUUGAUGGUGAAGAUUAUUGUAUGUGGAGUGAUAAAAUGAGGCAUCAUCUAACCUCACUCCAUGCAAGCAUAUGGAAUAUUGUUGAGUUUGGAGCGCAAGUACCAUCCGUAGGGGAUGAAGGAUAUGAUUCGGACGAGGUCACCCAAAUCCGGCACUUUGACUCCCAAGCAACUACUAUACUCCUCGCCUCCUUGUGUCGAGAGAAGUAUAAUAAGGUGCAAGGGCUAAAAAGUGCCAAAGAGAUUUGUGAUGUACUAAAGACCGUGCACGAAGGGGAUGAGGUGACCAAGAUCACCAAGCAGGAGACGAUCGAGGGGGAGCUCAGUCGAUUCGUCCUCAUCCAAGGAGAGGAGCCACAAGCCAUGUACAACCGACUUAAGACCUUGGUGAUAUAUUCAAGUGCGCAACCUCGGGAGCACAAAAUGGGAUGACCAUGAAAUGGUCAAGGUUAUUCUAAGAUCACUCGUUUUUCGUAAUCCUACACAAGUUCAAUUAAUACGUGGUGAUCCUAGAUAUAAUCUAAUGUCUCCCGAGGAAGUGAUAGGAAAGUUUGUGAGCUUUGAGUUGAUGAUCAAAGGCUCCAAACAAAUCGCCGAGCAAGGCGGCACCUCCACACCCGAGGUGCAACCCGUCGCAUUCAAAGCGACGGAGGAAAAGAAAGAAGAGUCUACAUCAAGUAGGCUCCCCAUCGACACCUCCAAGCUCGACAAUGAGGAGAUGUCGCUCAUCAUCAAGAGCUUCCGUCAAAUCCUCAAGCAAAGAAGGGGGAAGGACUACAAACCCCGCUCCAAGAAGGUGUGCUAUAAGUGUGGUAAGCCCGAUCAUUUUAUCGCUAAAAGCCCUAUAUCUAGUGAUAGUGACAGGGACAACGACAAGAAGGGGAGGAAAAAGGAAAAGAAGAAUUACUACAAGAAGAAGGGCGGCGAUGCCCAUGUGUGUCAGGAAUGGGACUCCGAUGAGAGCUCCACCGACUCCUCCUCCGACGAGGAUGCCGCCAACAUUGCCGUCAACAAGGGCCUCCUCUUCCCCAACGUCGUCCACAAGUGCCUCAUGGCAAAGGACGACAAGAAAAACAAGGUACAAGCUAGAACCACCCCAAGUAUACUACAUCUAGUGAUGAGGGUAGCUCUAGUGAUGAUGAAGAUAACUUGCUUAGUCUUUUUGCCAACCUUAACAUGCAACAAAAAGAAAAAUUAAAUAAAUUGAUAGGAGCUAUUCAUGAGAAGGAUGAACUCUUGGAUAGCCAAGAGGAAUUCCUUAUUAAGGAAAAUAAGAAGCAUGUUAAGGUGAAGAAUGCUUAUGCUCAGGAAAUGGAGAAAAAAUGAAAAUUUGACUAAAGAGCUUAGCAUUUGCCAUGACACCAUUUCCAACCUUAGAACUAAGAAUGUUAAUUUGAGUGCUAAGGUUGAAAAAUCAAAUAUUUGUCAUGAUUCAAUUAUCAAUCUUAAAAAUGAUAAUGCUAGUUUAAUUGCUAAGAUUGAUAAAUUGAAUGAAUCAAUUGCUAGCCUUAAACUGAGAAUGAAAAGUUAAUUUCCAAAGCUAAAGAUUUAAAUGUUUGCAAUGAAUCUAUUUCCUAUCUCAGAGAUGAAAAUGCUAUGCUAAAAUCUAAGAUAGAUAAAUUAAAUGUUUGCAAACCUUCUACAUCUAGUGUUGAUCAUGUUACUAUUUGUACUAGAUGUAGAGAUAUAAAUGUUGAUGCUAUCCAUGAUCACCUUGCCUUAAUUAAACAACAAAAUGAUCACAUAGCUCAACUAACUACUAAAAUUAAUGAGCAUGAGAUAGAAAAUGAAAAAUUUAAAUUUGCUAGAAGCAUGCUCUAUAGUGGGAGACACCCUGGCAUUAAGGAUGGCAUUGGUUUCCAAUAGUGAAGCAUUGUCAAGCUUAAUGCCCCUAAGAAAUUGUCUAGUUUUGUUAAGGGCAAGGCUCCCAUGGCUCAGGAUAACGAGUGUUACAUUUUAUAUCCUACUGGUUAUCCCGAGCACAAGAUUAGGAGAAUUCAUGCUAGGAAGUCUCAUUCUGUUUCUCACCAUGCUUAUAUGUAUAAGAAUGAGGAAUCUAGCUCUAGGCAUUCCACUCAUAUUAAAAUGCCUAAAAAGAAAACUCCUACUGCAUCAAGUGAACCUAAUGUUUCAUUCAAAACUUUUGAUGCUUCAUAUGUGCUUACUAACAAAUCAGGCAAAGUAGUUGCCAAAUAUGUUGGGGGGCAAACACAAGGGCUCCAAGACUUGUGUUUGGGUACCCAAGGUGCUUGUUUCUAACAUGAAAGGACCCAAGACUGUUUGGGUACCUAAGAACAAGGCCUAAAUUGUUUUGCAGGUUUAUGCAUCCGGGGGCUCAAGUUGGAUUAUUGAUAGCGGAUGCACAAACCACAUGACAUGGAAGAAAAGGAUGUUCUCCUCCUAUGAGAAAAACGAAGAUCCCCAAAGAGCCAUCACAUUCGGGGAUGGAAAUCAAGGUUUGGUCAAAGGACUUGGUAAAAUUGCUAUAUCACCUGACCAUUCUAUUUCCAAUGUUUUUCUUGUAGAUUCUUUAGAUUACAAUUUGCUUUCUAUAUCUCAAUUAUGCAAAAUGGGUUACAACUGUCUUUUUACGGAUAUAGGUGUUACUGUCUUUAGAAGAAGUGAUGAUUCAGUAGCAUUUAAGGGAGUACUCGAGGGUCAGCUAUACUUAGUUGAUUUUAAUAGAGCUGAACUCGAUACUUGCUUAAUUGCUAAGACUAAUAUGGGUUGGCUCUGGCAUCACCGACUAGCCCAUGUUGGGAUAAAGAAUCUUCACAAGCUUCUAAAGGGAGAACACAUUUUGGGACUAACCAAUGUUCAUUUUGAGAAAGACAGGGUUUGUACCGCAUGUCAAGCAGGAAAGCAAGUUGGAGCCCAUCAUCCACACAAGAACAUCAUGACGACCGACAGGCCGCCUGAGCUACUCCACAUGGAUUUAUUCGGCCCAAUUGCUUACAUAAGCAUCGACGGGAGUAAGUAUUGUCUUGUAAUUGUGGAUGACUAUUCUCGCUUCACUUGGGUGUUCUUUUUGCAGGAAAAAUCACAGACCCAAGAAACUUUAAAGGGAUUCUUGAGACAGGCUCAAAAUGAGUUCGGAUUGAGAAUAAAAAAGAUAAGAAGCGACAAUGGGACAGAGUUCAAGAACUCACAAAUAGAAGGAUUUUUUGAGGAGGAAGGCAUCAGGCAUGAGUUCUCUUCUCCCUACAGACCUCAACAAAAUGGUGUAGUGGAGAGGAAGAAUAGAACUUUAUUGGACAUGGCAAGGACCAUGCUUGAUGAGUACAAGACUCCGGACCAGUUCUGGGCUGAGGCGAUUAACACAGCCUGCUACUCCAUCAACCGGCUCUACCUCCACCGAAUCCUCAAGAAGACAUCUUAUGAACUCCUCACUCGUAAAAAAGCCCAAUGUUUCAUAUUUUAGAAUCUUUGUAGCAAAUGUUUUAUUCUUGUUAAAAGAGGAAGAAAAUCUAAAUUUGCUCCUAAGGCUGUAGAAGGCUUUUUACUAGGAUAUGAUUCAAACAUAAGGGCAUAUAGAGUCUUCAACAAGUCCACUGGAUUAGUUGAGGUUUCUUGUGACAUUGUGUUUGAUGAGACUAAUGGCUCCCAAAUGGAGCAAGUUGAUCUUGAUGAAUUAGAUGAUGAAGAGGCUCCAUGCGUCGCGCUAAGAAACAUGUCCAUAGGGGAUGUGUGUCCUAAGGAACCCAAAGAGCAAAUUCAAGCACAAGAUCAACCAUCAUCUUCCAUGCAAGCAUCCCCUCCAACUCAAGAUGAGGAUCAGGCUCAAGACAAUGAAGAUGAAGAUCAAGAGGAUGAGCCACCUCAAGAGGAGGACAAUGAUCAUGGGGGAGAGGACAAUGAUCAUGGGGGAGAUGACAAUGAUCAAGACAAGGAAGAUGAUCAAGAAGUACAGGGUCCAAGACUGCCACACCCAAGAGUCCACCAGGCGAUUCAAAGAGAUCACCCCAUGAACUCCAUCCUCGGCGAUAUUCAAAAGGGGGUAACCACUCGAUCUCGAGUCACUCAUUUUUGUGAACAUUACUCUUUUGUUUCCUCUAUUGAACCAUACAAGGUAGAGGAUGCACUAAGAGAUUCAGAUUAGGUGUUGGCAACACAAGAGGAGUUCAACAACUUCACGAGGAAUGAGGUAUGGCAUUUAGUUCCACGUCCUAACCAAAAUGUUGUAGGAACCAAGUGGGUAUUCCACAACAAGCAAGAUGAGCAUGGUGUGGUGACAAGGAACAAAGCCCGACUUGUGGCCAAAGGAUAUUCACAAGUCGAAGGUUUGGAUUUUGAUGAAACCUAUGCACCCGUAGCUAGGCUUGAGUCAAUUCGUAUAUUACUUGCCUAUGCUACUCACCAUGUCUUUAAGCUUCAUCAAAUAGACGUGAAGAGUGCCUUCCUCAAUGGACCAAUCAAGGAAGAGGUCUAUGUUGAGCAAUCUCCUGGCUUUUAAGAUAGUGAGUACCCUAACCACGUUAAUAAACUCUCAAAGGCGCUUUAUGGGCUCAAGCAAGCCCCAAGAGCAUGGUAUGAAUGCCUGCAAGAUUUUCUUAUCACUAAUGGCUUCAAAGUCGGUAAAGCUGAUCCUACUCUCUUUACUAAAACUAUUGCAAAAGAAACCGAAGAGUACCCUGGUCUAGCGCACCAGAUUGUCCAGUGUGCCACCAGAUAGUGUCCGGUGCACCAGGAUCGUACGACUCUAAACCCUUCACCUUCAGGUUUCUCAGGCGUCGCUCUGCUAUAAUUCACUGGACUGUCCAGUGUGCCAUCGGACUGUCUGAUGCACCAGUGGAGCAACGGCUAUCAGCGCAACGGUCGACUGCACAGUGCCCCUGACAGCGCUACAGUUCACGGCAGAAGUCAGAGCAGAGGUCAGAGGCGCACCGGACAGUAAACAGUGCCUGUCCGGUGCGGCACCGGACUGUCCGGUGCCACCAGAAGUCAGCGCUCCAACGGCCGACUCCGUCAUAACCCUAACGGUUGGGUGACGUGGCUGGCGCACCGGACCGUCCGGUGCGCCCAUCGACAGCAGCCACCCCUAACGGUUGUUUUGGUGGUUGAGGGCUAUAAAUACCCCCCAACCACCUCCACUCCAACCAUCCAAGCAUUCAACACUCUCCAUUCAAUACAAGAGCAAAGUGCAACACUCCAAAGACACAAUUCAAGUGAUCGAUCCAAUCAAAGUUCCCGAUUCAACUCUAGUGCAUUAGAACUUGUGAGAGGAUCAUUUGUGUUUCUUUGUUGCUCUUGUUUGCUUGGCUUGACUUUCUUUUCUUUCUCACUUCUUACUCUCAAGUGCUUUGUAAGUGAGGCAAGAGACACCAAUUGUGUGGUGAUCCUUGCGGGGUCUAAGUGACUCGUGAGAUUAAGGAAGAAGCCUCACUCGGUCUAGGUGACCGUUUGAGAGAGGGAAAGGGUUGAAAGAGACCCGAUCUUUGUGACCACCUCAACGGAGACUAGGUUCUUUAGAACCAAACCUCGGUAAAACAAAUCACUGUGUUAUCCACUUUAUUUUCUUGGUUGAUUUGUUUUCCCCUAUCUCCUAGACUCGGUUUUAUUCUAAAGCUAACCCCGGUUUGUAGUGUGCUUAAAGUUGUAAAUUUCAGUUUCCGCCUAUCCACCCCCCUCUAGGAAACUUUCAAUUGGUAUCAGAGCCCAUUACUUCAUUAGAGUCUAACCACUCGAAGUGAUGUCGGGAGGAUCCGCCAAGAGGGAGAUGAAAACGGGUACAAGCCACGGGAAGGCUCCAUCAAAGGAGUCCGGCGCCAACCUCCUCUCCCACCUCUCUCUCUCUCCCCCUGUGGUGCCCUAGGUCUUGGAGACGGUGAUCGACAGAAUUUGGAUCCUCGAGGUGAGCUCCCCUCCCCCCUCUCUCUCUUUCUCCCAAGCGGCCCCGCACCCCGGCGGCUCGCCGUGGCCCCGCGCCCCUGGCCGGCGGCGGCUCUCCCCAGCGGCCCUGCAUGCCCGUGCCCUAGCGGCCCCACGCCCCGGCGUCCCGCGCCCCAGCGGCUCUCGCCCCGGCGGCCCCGCGUCCCGCGCUCCAGCGGCCUGCGCCCCCCCCCCGGCGGCCUCUGCCCCCGUCGCGCGCCCGCGCGCCCCGGCAGCUCGGCCCCGGCGUCCCGCGUCCCGCACGCCCGGCCCCGCGGCCCGGCGUCCCAUGCGCUCGCCCCCCUGCGCCGCAUCCCGCGCGCCCCAGCGGCUCGGCCCCCCCGCGUCGCGCCCCUGCGCCCCAGUGGCUUGCCCCGCGCGCCCCCGUGCCCCGGUGGCGGUUCGGCCCCACGCGCCCCCGCGCCUUGCGCCCCGCGGCCCCGCGCCCUGGCGGCCCUGCCCCGUGUCCCGGCGUGGCCUCGCGUGCCCCCGGUGCGCGCAGCGUGUUCGCGCGCGCACGACUGUAGUUGCGCGGCGUUCGACUUUCAGCUUAAUCCCUUUUUCAAUUUUAGUUUAGUCGAUGUGAUUGAGAGCACCUAGAGGGGGGGGGUGAAUAGGUGAUCCUGUAAAACUUAAACUUAUAGCCACAAAACUUGUUAAGUGUUAGCACAAUUAUUGCCAAGUGGCUAGAGAGGAGUCAGAACACAAUAACCACAAGAAAACAAUCACAAAGAUGACACGGUGGUUAUCCCGUGGUUCGGCCAAGUACAACACUUGCCUACUCCACGUUGUGGCGUCCCAACGGACGAGAGUUGCACUCAACUCCUCUCAAGUGAUCCAAUGAUCAACUUGAAUACCACGGUGUUCUUCUUUUCUUAGAUCUUUUCCCGUUUGCGAGGAAUCUCCACAACUUGGAGUCUCUCGCCCUUACAAUUGAGUUUCACAAAGAAGCACGGAGUAAGGGAGGGAAGCAACACACACAAAUCCACAGCAAAAUGCGCACACACACACGGCCAAGACUCGAGCUCAAAAGACUAUCUCGAAGUUCUCACUAGAACGGAGCUCGAAUCACUUAGAAAGACAAACGAAUGCGCAAAGACUGAGUGUGGAUGAUCAAGAUUGCUCUAAGGUUGCUUGGUGUUCUCCUCCAUGCGCCUAGGGGUCCCUUUUAUAGCCCCAAGGCAGCUCGGAGCCGUUGAGAACAAAUCUGGAAGGCCAUCCUUGCCUUCUGUCGUCGGGUGCACCGGACAGUCCGGUGCACACCGGACACUGUCCGGUGCCCGAUUUGUUUCCAUAAACAGCGCAGUCGACCGUUGCAGACCGUUGGAGAUCUGGGAGCCGAUGGCGCACCGGACAGUCCGGUGCACACCGGACAGUCCGGUGCCCCCUUCCGACCGUUGGCUCGGCCACGUGUCUCGCGCAGAUUGCGCGGCCGACCGUUGGCCCUGGCCGACCGUUGGCUCACCGGACAGUCCGGUGCACACCGGACAGUCCGGUGAAUUUUAGCCGUACACCGUCGGCGAAUUCCCGAGAGCGGCGUCUUCAGGCCGAGGCAGCCUGGCGCACCGGACACUGUCCGGUGCACCACCGGACAGUCCGGUGCCCCAGACCGAAACAACCUAUUUGCUGUACACCGCCAACUCUCUUCUUUUCUUCUUCUCUCUGUUUCUAACACUUAGAUAAGUACAUUAGUAUACAAAACCAAUGUACUAAGGCUUAGAAACAUACCUUUGCUUGUGAUUUGCACUUUGUUAAUCCAUGGGCAUAGAUUCACAAUUAAGCACUUGUGUUGGCACUCAAUCACCAAAAUACUUAGAAAUGGCCCAAAGGCACAUUUCCCUUUCAAUCUCCCCCUUUUUGGUGAUUUAUGCCAACACAACAUAAAGCAACUAGAACAAGUGCAAAAACACUUCAAAUAGAACUCAAAUCUAUUUUGAUUCAUUUUUGGCAUAUAUGGAUCAUCCUUUGCCACCACUUGGUUUGUUUUUGUAAAUCAAACUCAAAUCUCUAUCUCUAAGUCAAACACUCAUGUUGAAGCAUAAAGAGAGUCAUUUCAAAAGAGAUUGAUCAAAAGAUUUCAAAAACUCCCCCUAUUUCCCAUAAUCAAUACUUCUCCCCACAAGAAGCCAACUUUUGACGAAAGAGAUAAUGCAAGAGUUUUGAACAAACCAAAAAACAAACCAAAAAGCUCUAUUCUACUAUUUUCAAAAUCUCUCAAGUGGUAGCUGAUCCAUUUAUCACUUUGGCCUUUAUUUUCUCCCCCUUUGGCAUCAAGCACCAAAACGGGAUCAAUCUUGGACCUUUUAACCCCAUUGCCUCACCAAAAUCUUCAAUAAGAAUACAAAGGCAAUAAGAGUUCAUGAGAUGAACUUGGAAUAGGUUACCCUCUCAUCGGAGUGCAGUGGAAGUCUUUCAUGGUCCAAGUCCACCUUUUCCCUUUCAAUUCUUCUUCGAGACUAAGUCAAACAAACUCAAGCAUAUGGUUAGUCUCAAAGGGUCAAGUUGUAAACAUCUCCCCCUAAAACUUUGCAUUACUUUGCAACGGACUUGUGAGGUCCAGGGAGUGUUUGUACAACUUGAGCACCACAAUAAGCAACAAAAUGCAGAAGGAACAUGAUCAAGGCAUAAACACGUGUAUGCUACAAUUCAAUCCAAGUUCCGCGAAUCUAAGACAUUUAGCUCACUACGCAACCUGCAAAAGGUCUUCUCAUCUAGAGGCUUGGUAAAGAUAUCGGCUAGCUGGUUCUCGGUGCUAACAUGAAACACUUCGAUAUCUCCCUUUUGCUGGUGAUCUCUCAGAAAGUGAUGCCGGAUGUCUAUGUGCUUUGUGCGGCUGUGUUCAACAGGAUUUUCCGCCAUGCGGAUAGCACUCUCAUUAUCACAUAGGAGUGGGACUUUGCUCAGAUUGUAGCCAAAGUCCCUGAGGGUUUGCCUCAUCCAAAGUAGUUGCGCGCAACACUGUCCUGCGGCAACGUACUCGGCCUCAGCGGUGGAUAGGGCAACGGAGGUUUGUUUCUUAGAUUUCCAUGACACCAAGGACCUUCCUAAGAAUUGGCACGUCCCCGAUGUACUCUUCCUAUCGACCUUACAUCCAGCAUAAUCGGAGUCUGAAUAUCCAAUUAGGUCAAAGGUAGACCCCUUUGGAUACCAGAGCCCGAGGCAAGGCGUAGCAACUAAAUAUCUAAGGAUUCGCUUCACCGCCACUAAGUGACACUCCUUAGGAUCGGAUUGAAAUCUAGCACACAUGCAUACGCUAAGCAUAAUAUCCGGUCUACUAGCACAUAAGUAAAGCAAAGAACCUAUCAUGGACCGGUAUGCUUUUUGAUCAACGGACUUACCUCCUUUGUUGAGGUCGGUGUGUCCGUCGGUUCCCAUCGGUGUCUUUGCGGGCUUGGCGUCCUUCAUCCCAAACCGCUUUAGCAGGUCCUGCGUGUACUUCGUUUGGGAGAUGAAGGUGCCGUCCUUGAGUUGCUUCACUUGGAACCCAAGGAAGUAGUUCAACUCGCCCAUCAUUGACAUCUCGAAUUUCUGCGUCAUCACCCUGCUAAACUCUUCACAAGACUUUUUAUUAGUAGAACCAAAUAUUAUGUCAUUGACAUAAAUUUGGCACACAAAUAAAUCACCAUCGCAUGUCUUAGUGAAAAGAGUUGGAUCGGCUUUCCCAACCUUGAAAGCAUUAGCAAUUAAGAAAUCUCUAAGGCAUUCAUACCAUGCUCUUGGGGCUUGCUUAAGUCCAUAGAGCGCCUUAGAGAGCUUACACACGUGGUCGGGGUACCGUUCAUCCUCGAAGCCAGGGGGUUGCUCCACGUACACCUCCUCUUUUAUUGGCCCGUUGAGGAAAGCGCUCUUCACAUCCAUUUGGAACAACCUGAAAGAAUGGUGAGCGGCAUAUGCUAGCAAGAUACGAAUGGACUCUAGCCUAGCCACAGGAGCAAAUGUCUCCUCAAAGUCCAAACCUGCGACUUGGGCAUAACCUUUUGCCACAAGUCGAGCCUUGUUCCUUGUCACCACCCCGUGCUCGUCCUGUUUAUUGCGGAACACCCACUUGGUUCCCACAACAUUUUGCUUGGGACGAGGCACCAGUGUCCAAACUUCAUUGCGCUUGAAGUUGUUUAACUCCUCUUGCAUGGCCAACACCCAGUCCGGAUCUAGCAAGGCCUCUUCUACCCUGAAAGGCUCAAUAGAAGAGACAAAGGAGUAAUGCUCACAAAAAUUAACUAAUCGAGAUCGAGUAGUUACUCCCUUGCUAAUGUCACCCAGAAUUUGGUCGACGGGAUGAUCCCUUUGAAUCAUCGCUCGAACUUGGGUUGGAGGUGCUGGUUGCGCUUCUUCCUCCAUCACAAGAUCAUCUUGUGCUCUCCCUUGAUCACACGCCUCCUGUUGAUGAACCUGUUCAUUGUCUUGAGUUGGGGGAUGCACCAUUGUUGAGGAAGAAGGUUGAUCUUGCUUUUCUUGUUCCUGUGGUCGCACAUCACCAAUCGCCAUGGUUCGUAUAGCGGCCGUCGGAACAUCUUCUUCAUCUACAUCAUCAAGAUCAACAUCUUGCUCUCUUGGAGAGCCAUUAGUCUCAUCAAAUACAACGUCGCUAGAGACUUCAACCAAACCCGAUGAUUUGUUAAAGACUCUAUACGCCUUUGUAUUUGAGUCAUAACCUAACAAAAACCCUUCUACAGCUUUGGGAGCAAACUUAGAAUUUCUACCCUUCUUCACUAGAAUGUAGCACUUGCUCCCAAAAACACGAAAGUAAGAUACAUUGGGUUUGUUACCGGUUAGUAGCUCAUACGACGUCUUCUCGAGGAGGCGAUGAAGGUAGACCCUGUUGAUGGCGUGGCAAGCCGUGUUCACGGCUUCCGUCCAAAAGCACUCGGGGGUCUUGAACUCUCCUAGCAUCGUCCUCGCCAUAUCGAUGAGUGUUCUGUUCUUCCUCUCUACCACACCAUUUUGCUGUGGUGUGUAGGGAGCGGAGAACUCGUGCUUGAUCCCUUCAUCCUCAAGAAACACCUCCACUUGAAGGUUCUUGAACUCGGACCCGUUGUCGCUCCUUAUCUUCUUCACCUUGAGCUCAAACUCAUUUUGAGCCCUCCUGAGGAAGCGCUUGAGGGUCCCUUGGGUUUCAGACUUAUCCUGCAAAAAGAACACCCAAGUGAAGCGGGAAAAAUCAUCAACAAUAACUAGACCAUACUUACUUCCUCCUAUACUCAGAUAGGCGACGGGUCCGAAGAGGUCCAUAUGCAGCAGCUCCAGGGGUCUUGAAGUGGUCAUCACAUUCUUGCUGUGAUGUGCUCCUCCCACUUGUUUACCUGCCUGACAAGCUGCACAAGGUCUAUCUUUUUCGAAUUGCACAUUAGUUAAUCCUAUCACGUGUUCCCCCUUUAGAAGCUUGUGAAGGUUCUUCAUCCCUACAUGUGCUAAGCGGCGAUGCCACAGCCAGCCCAUGCUAGUCUUAGCUAUUAAGCAUGCAUCUAGACCGGCCUCUUCUUUUACAAAAUCAACUAAAUAAAGUUUGCCGUCUAAUACACCCUUAAAAGCUAGUGAACCAUCACUUCUUCUAAAGACAGACACAUCUAUGUUUGUGAAUAAACAAUUAUAUCCCAUAUUGCAUAAUUGACUAACAGAUAGUAAAUUAUAAUCAAGAGACUCUACUAAAAACACAUUUGAAAUAGAAUGCUCAUUAGAAAUUGCAAUUUUACCUAACCCUUUUACCUUGCCUUGAUUCCCAUCACCGAAUAUGAUUGAAUCUUGGGAAUCUUUAUUCUUGACGUAGGAGGUGAACAUUUUCUUCUCCCCCGUCAUAUGGUUUGUGCAUCCGCUGUCGAUAAUCCAGCUUGAACCCCCGGAUGCAUAAACCUGCAAGGCAAAUUUAGGCUUGGGUCUUAGGUACCCAACUCAUGUUGGGUCCUACAAGGUUAGCACAAAUAUUCUUAGGAACCCAAAUGCAAGUUUUGUCUCCCUUGCAUUUUGCCCCUAAUUUCCUAGCAACAAUUUUCUUAUCCUUUCUACAAAUAGCAAAGGAAGCAUUUAAAGCACAAUAAAUUGUAGAAGGUUCAUUCACUACUUUCCUAGGAGCAUGAAUAACAUUCUUUCUAGGUAUAUGAUGAAUAGCAUUUCUACCAUGCAUAUAAGAAGAGCUAGAAGCAAUCAUGUGAUGAGAAUCAAAAUCAUCAUAAGCAUUGUAAUUCCUAUAAGCAUUUCUAGUUUGUCUCCUAUCAUGAUACAAAAAGGCAUGGUUCUUUUUAGCACUAGUAGCCAUAGGGGCCUUCCCUUUCUCCUUAGCGGGAAUGGGAGCCUUAUGGCUUGUUAAGUUCUUGGCUUCCCUCUUGAAGCCAAGUCCAUCCUUAAUUGAGGGGUGUCUACCGAUCGUGUAGGCAUCCCUUGCAAAUUUUAGUCUAUCAAAUUCAUUCUUACUAGUCUUAAGUUGGUCAUUAAGACUAGCCAAUUCCUUAGUUAAUUUAGAAAUUGAGACUAAAUGAUCACUACAAGCAUCAACAUCGAAAUCUUUACACCUAGUGCAAAUCUCAACAUGUUCUACACAAGAAUUAGAUUUACUAGCUACUUCUAGUUUAGCAUUUAAGUCGUCAUUAAUUCUCUUUAGAGUAGCAAUGGUUUCAUGACAAGAAGAUAGUUCACUAGAAAGCACUUUAUUUCUUUUAACUUCUAAAGCAUAAGAUUUUUGUGCCUCUACAAAUUUGUCAUGCUCUUCAUACAAAAGGUCCUCUUGUUUUUCUAAGAGUCUAUCUUUUUCAUUCAAGGCAUCAAUUAAUUCAUUAAUUUUAUCUACUUUAGUUCUAUCCAAUCCCUUGAACAAACUAGAGUAAUCUAUUUCAUCAUCACUAGACUCAUUAUCACUGGAAGAAUCAUAAGUGACAUUGUCUUGAUUACAUACCUUCUUCUCCCUUGCCAUAAGGCAUGUGUGACGCUCGUUGGGGAAGAGGGAUGUCUUGUUGAAGGCAGUGGCGGCGAGUCCUUCAUUGUCGGAGUCGGAGGAGGAGCAAUCCGAAUCCCACUCCUUUCCGAUAUGUGCCUCGCCCUUGGCCUUCUUGUAAUGCUUCUUCUUUUCCCUCUUGCUCCCGUGAUCCUGGUCACUAUCAUUGUCGGGACAGUUAGCAAUAAAAUGACCAAGCUUACCGCAUUUGAAGCAUGAUCGCUUUCCCUUGGUCUUAGUCUUGCUUGGCUGUCCCUUGCGACCCUUUAGUGCCGUCUUGAAUCUUUUGAUGAUGAGGGCCAUCUCUUCAUCAUUAAGACCGGCCGCCUCAAUUUGCGCCACCUUGCUGGGUAGCGCCUCCUUGCUUCUUGUUGCCUUGAGAGCAAUGGGUUGAGGCUCAUGGAUUGGGCCAUUCAACGCGUCGUCCACGUACCUCGCCUCCUUAAUCAUCAUUCGCCCGCUUACAAAUUUUCCAAGAAUUUCUUCGGGCGACAUCUUGAUGUACCUAGGAUUUUCACGAAUAUUGUUCACCAAGUGAGGAUCAAGAACGGUAAAUGACCUUAGCAUUAGGCGGACGACGUCGUGAUCCGUCCAUCGCGUGCUUCCGUAGCUCCUUAUUUUGUUGAUAAGGAUCUUGAGCCGGUUAUAUGUUUGUGUCGGCUCCUCGCCCCUUAUCAUCGCGAAUCGUCCGAGCUCGCCCUCCACCAACUCCAUCUUGGUGAGUAAGGUGACAUCAUUUCCCUCAUGAGAGAUCUUGAGGGUGUCCCAAAUCUGCUUGGCAUUGUCCAAGCCGCUCACUUUGUGAUACUCGUCCCUGCACAAAGAGGCUAGCAACACAGUAGUAGCUUGUGCAUUUUUAUGGAUCUGUUCAUUUAUAAACGAAGGGCUAUCCGAGCUAUCAAAUUUCAUUCCACUUUCCACAAUCUCCCAAAUGCUUGGAUGGAGAGAAAAUAGGUGAGUACGCAUUUUGUGACUCCAAAAUCCGUAGUCCUCUCCAUCAAAGUGAGGAGGCUUGCCAAGUGGAAUGGGGAGCAAAUGAGCAUUUGAGCUAUGCGGAAUGCGCGAAUAAUCAAAAGAAAAGUUUGAGUUAACCGUCUUUUGUUUGUAGUCGUUGUCCUCAUCCUUUUGGGAAGAAGUAGACUCAUCGCUGUCGUAGUAGACGAUCUCCUUGAUGCGUCUUGUCUUCUUCUUCUUCCCAUCUUUGCGUCUGUGGCCCGAGCUUGAGUCGUUGGACUUGUCAUCCCUUGGCUCGUUGACGAAGGACUCCUUCUCCUUAUCGUUGAUCACGAUUCCCUUCCCCUUAGGAUCCAUCUCUUCGGGCAGUUAGUCCCUUUCUUGAAGAGAACGGCUCUGAUACCAAUUGAGAGCACCUAGAGGGGGGGGGGGUGAAUAGGUGAUCCUGUAAAACUUAAACUUAUAGCCACAAAACUUGUUAAGUGUUAGCACAAUUAUUGCCAAGUGGCUAGAGAGGAGUCAAAACACAAUAACCACAAGAAAACAAUCACAAAGAUGACACGGUGGUUAUCCCGUGGUUCGGCCAAGUACAACACUUGCCUACUCCACGUUGUGGCGUCCCAACGGACGAGAGUUGCACUCAACUCCUCUCAAGUGAUCCAAUGAUCAACUUGAAUACCACGGUGUUCUUCUUUUCUUAGAUCUUUUCCCGUUUGCGAGGAAUCUCCACAACUUGGAGUCUCUCGCCCUUACAAUUGAGUUUCACAAAGAAGCACGGAGUAAGGGAGGGAAGCAACACACACAAAUCCACAGCAAAAUGCGCACACACACGGCCAAGACUCGAGCUCAAAAGACUAUCUCGAAGUUCUCACUAGAACGGAGCUCGAAUCACUUAGAAAGACAAACGAAUGCGCAAAGACUGAGUGUGGAUGAUCAAGAUUGCUCUAAGGUUGCUUGGUGUUCUCCUCCAUGCGCCUAGGGGUCCCUUUUAUAGCCCCAAGGCAGCUCGGAGCCGUUGAGAACAAAUCUGGAAGGCCAUCCUUGCCUUCUGUCGUCGGGUGCACCGGACAGUCCGGUGCACACCGGACACUGUCCGGUGCCCGAUUUGUUUCCAUAAACAGCGCAGUCGACCGUUGCAGACCGUUGGAGAUCUGGGAGCCGAUGGCGCACCGGACAGUCCGGUGCACACCGAACAGUCCGGUGCCCCCUUCCGACCGUUGGCUCGGCCACGUGUCUCGCGCAGAUUGCGCGGCCGACCGUUGGCCCUGGCCGACCGUUGGCUCACCGGACAGUCCGGUGCACACCGGACAGUCCGGUGAAUUUUAGCCGUACGCCGUCGGCGAAUUCCCGAGAGCGGCGUAUUCAGGCCGAGACAGCCUGGCGCACCGGACACUGUCCGGUGCACCACCGGACAGUCCGGUGCCCCAGACCGAAACAGCCUAUUUGCUGUACACCGCCAACUCUCUUCUUUUCUUCUUCUCUCUGUUUCUAACACUUAGAUAAGUACAUUAGUAUACAAAACCAAUGUACUAAGGCUUAGAAACAUACCUUUGCUUGUGAUUUGCACUUUGUUAAUCCAUGGGCAUAGAUUCACAAUUAAGCACUUGUGUUGGCACUCAAUCACCAAAAUACUUAGAAAUGGCCCAAAGGCACAUUUCCCUUUCAGUGAUGUGUCGCGCGCUUUGUCGCGUGUCAAUUCAUUUUAAAUUCAUCUUUAUUAAUGAUCUGUGUCGCGCGCUUCGUCGCGCGACGUUUCGUUUAAAAUUCAAGUCAGUUGACGUAAGCCGUCGCGUGUUUCGUCGCGCGACGGGUCAUUUAUUUCUUAAUUCAAUUUAAGUGCUGUGUCGCGCGUAUCGCCGCGCGACAAUCCUUUUAAUAUAUCUUAUUCUGUUCAUAAUAAUUAAAUAUGGAACAUGACUUUACCUUAUGCUUAACGCAAUGACUAAAUUAAUACCGUUCUGUUUAGAUGAGUGUUUUAAUUUAUAAUCGUGUGACGUGAUCGCUUCUCGACUGUAGCCUCGACCGUUACUUUCUCUUUCUCGCUUAGUCGUAUGUGUGAGCCCUGCAUCGAACGUCUGUUUAUUUAUUGCAUUUCAUUGUAUGGUGUACUGUUCUUUUGUAUUAAAUAUGUGGAAUGUAUGUUUGAACUCGUAUAGAUAACGGUCAGUUGGCGGAGUCCGAAGGAGUUGCAGGUGAAGACCCUGAGCAGCAGUCGGUUGGUGAAGGGAAGUGUCCCUUGACCCAUCUAUGUCCUACUCAUUCUUAUAAUUCAUUCCCCGCAUUUACACAGUUUAUACCUAAGGAUUGACUAGCUUUUGUCUAUCUUGUCCUUGUUUACCUAUUCUGGUUGGGUUAUUAUGGUUUAGCUUCAUGCUAGUGCUUCACAUUAAUCAAUGAACAUGAUGAGAUUAUCUAUGAUACGAUGUUUUCCCUUUUGAUUAUGAUGAUGGUACUUGUGGCCCUUAAGGGGACUCGAGCUGUUUCUCGAGUGCCUCUCCAUAAGGACCUGUUCGUUGGAUGACCGCCCGGGAAAACAUUGCAACCAUGAGGGUGGAGUGGGACGCCCUUAGCUGAGUAAUUAGAGGAACUGGGGUGUAGUUCGCUUCGCCGUCGUGCUGUUAUUGGGGCUUGGUGUAUGCGGCCCGCUCUGCCAAGGUUGGUUCGCCCCUUGGGGAGGAGUGCGGUGCAUUUAGGAAACCUAACAGGCGGCUACAGCCCUAGGAAAUCUUUGUAAAGGCUAUGUAGUGAGACCCUGCCUAUUCACCUUGGUAGUGUUUAAGGGUUUGAUCGGCCCGAGGCAAGAGGGAAUCACGACUUGUGGGUAAAGUGCGCAACCUCUGCAGAGUGUUAUGAAACUGAUAUAUCAGCCGUGCUCGCGGUUAUGAGCGACCAAGGGAGCUCCAUUGAUUAGAGAUACUUGAUCAGAGAUGUAUGGUUUACAGGUGGUGAUGAGGAUGAUGGUUAUGAUUAUGACUAUGGUACUGGUAAGUGGUAUUCUUUCCGUUUGGAAAGGGUACAACAGGUUAAUAACUUGGGUUAAUGCUAAAACCUGGCUUUCUACUAAUAAAUAAUAACAUGACCAACUAAAAGCAACUGCUUGACUUACCUCCACAUAAAGCUAGUCCACUAUAGCCAAACGGGACAUUUUGCUGAGUAUGUUGAUGUGUACUCACCCUUGCUUUACACACCAAACCCCCCAGGUUGUCUGCGUUGCAACCACUGCUCAGGUGAAGAUGAAGUCGUGGAGGAGGACUUUCAGGAGUUCCAAGAGUACGAUGAGUUCUAGGCGUGGGUUAGUGGCAAACUCUCAGUCGGCUGCCUGUGUAGGCCGUGUGUAUCUAUGUUUCUUUUCCGCACUUUGAUUAUUGUUAAAGACUAUGCGGAUGUCUUGGACAUCAUGAUGUAAUCGACUAUUAUACCCUCUUUUAUGUCACUAUUUGAGCACUGUGUGAUGAUGUCCAGUUAUGUAACUGUUGUGUACGUGAAUUACUGAUCCUGGCACGUACAUGGUUCACAUUCGGUUUGCCUUCUAAAACCGGGUGUGACAUGAUGAGGGUAGCUCUAGUGAAGAUGAAGAUAAUUUGCUUACACUUUUUGCCAACCUUAACAUGCAACAAAAAGAAAAAUUGAAUGAAUUGAUAUGUGCUAUUCAUGAGAAGGAUGAACUCUUGGAUAGCCAAGAGGAAUUCCUUAUUAAGGAAAAUGAAAAGCAUGUUAAGGUGAAGAAUGCUUAUGCUCAGGAAGUAGAGAAAAAUAAAAAUUUGACUAAGGAGCUUAGCAUUUGCCAUGACACUAUUUCCAAACUUAGAACUGAGAAUGUUAGUUUAAUUGCUAAGGUUGAAAAAUCAAAUAUUUGUCAUGAUUCAAUUGUUAGUCUUAGAAAUGAAAAGGCUAGUUUAAUUGCUAAAAUUGAUAAGUUGAAUGAAUCAAUUUCUAGCCUUAGAACUGAGAAUGAUAAUUUAACUUCUAAGGCUAAAAACUUGAAUGUUUGCAAUGAAUCUAUUUCCUAUUUUAGAGAUGAAAAUGCCAUGCUAAAAUCUAAGUUAGAUGAAUCAAAUGUUUGCAAACCCUCUACAUCUACUGUUGAUCAUGUCACUAUUUGUACUAGAUGUAGAGAUGUUAAUGUUGAUGAUAUUCAUGAUCACCUUGUUUUAAUUAAACAAAAAAUGAUCAUAUAGCGCAACUAACUGCAAAAAAUAAUGAGCGUGAGAUAGAAAAUGAAAAAAUUAAAUUUGCUAGAAGCAUGCUCUAUAGUGGGAGACGCCCUGCAUUUAGUUCCACGUCCUAACCAAAAUGUUGUAGGAACCAAGUGGGUAUUCCGCAACAAGCAAGAUGAGCAUGGUGUGGUGACAAGGAACAAAGCUCGACUUGUGGCCAAAGGAUAUUCACAAGUCGAAGGUUUGGAUUUCGAUGAAACCUAUGCACCCGUAGCUAGGCUUGAGUCAAUUCGUAUAUUACUUGCCUAUGUUACUCACCAUGGCUUUAAGCUUUAUCAAAUGGACGUGAAGAGUGCCUUCCUCAAUGGACCAAUCAAGGAAGAGGUCUAUGUUGAGCAACCUCUCGGCUUUGAAGAUAGUGAGUACCCUAACCACGUUUAUAAAUUCUCAAAGGCGCUUUAUGGGCUCAAGCAAGCCCCAAGAGCAUGGUAUGAAUGCCUGUGAGAUUUUCUUAUCACUAAUGGCUUCAAAGUCGGUAAAGUCGAUCCUACUCUCUUUACUAAAACUAUUGCAAAAGAUUUGUUUGUAUGCCAAAUUUAUGUUGAUGAUAUCAUAUUUGGGUCUACUAACAAAUCAACUUGUGAAGAGUUUAGUAGGAUCAUGAUUAAAAAUUCGAGAUGUCUAUGAUGGGGGAGUUGAAGUAUUUCCUAGGAUUUCAAGUCAAGCAACUCCAAGAAGGCACCUUCAUCAGCCAAACAAAGUACAUUCAAGACAUACUUACCAAGUUUGGAAUGAAGGAUGCAAGCCCAUCAAGACACCCAUGGGAACUAAUGGGCAUCUUGACCUCGACACGGGAGGUAAGUCCGUAGAUCAAAAGGUAUACCGAUCGAUGAUAGGAUCUUACUCUAUUUAUGUGCAUCACGACCGAACAUUAUUCUUUCCGUAUGCAUGUGUGCAAGGUUCCAAGCCGGUCCUAAGGAAGUUCACCUUAGGGUCGUGAAAAGAAUCAUGAGAUAUUUAGAUUACACUCCUAAGUUUGGUCUUUGGUACCCCAAGGGAUCCACCUUUGAUUUAAUAGGAUAUUCAGAUGCUGAUUGGGUAGGGUGUAAAAUUGAUAGGAAGAGCACAUUAGGAACUUGUCAGUUUCUGGGGAGAUCCCUGGUGUCUUUGGCUUCAAAGAAACAAAACUCAAUAGCUCUUUCUACCGCCGAAGUCGAGUAUAUUGCCGCACGCCAUUGUUGUGCGCAAUUACUUUGGAUGAGGCAAACCCUCAGGGACUAUGGCUACAAAUUGAGCAAAGUCCCUCUCCUAUGUGACAAUGAGGGUGCAAUCCGCAUGGCGGAUAAUCCCAUUGAACACAGCCGCACUAAGCACAUAGACAUUCAGUAUCACUUUUUAAGGGAUCACCAACAAAGGGGGAUAUCGAGAUAGCUUAUGUUAGCACCAAAGAACAAUUAGCUGAUAUCUUUACCAAACCAUUAGAUGAGAAAACUUUUAGCAAACUUAGAAAUGAGCUAAAUAUACUUGAUUCUCGGAACUUUGAUUGAAACAUUGCACACAUAGCUCAUUUAUAUACCUUCGAUCAUAUCUCUUUUAUUUCUAUGACUAAUGUGUUUUCAAGAGUAUUUCCAUACUAAGUCGUAGAUUAAAAGGGAAAUGGAGUCUUCGGCGAAGACAAGGCUUCCACUCUACUCUAACAGUAUCAUUUACCCUUCGCCAUCACUCCACAUCACUCUCAAAUUGGUAUAAUCUUCCAGUCAUAUUUACUUGUACCAAUGGGAGAUAAAGUAAAAAGAGCUCUCAAAGUCUCCGUUUUUUGCGAUUAAUGCCAAAGGGGGAGAAAUAUUAAGCCCAAAGCAAAAGGACCGCACCACCAAACUUCAAAAAUUCAAAUUUUUUCGAAAUGAUGAUUUAUGCUUGUCUUUUCAAUUGGUAUCUUAUGAUGAAAAUUCUUAGUUGAUAUAUUUCAAAUUGGUAUGUUGAUUUUCAAUUGAUACAUUUUCAAAAGCAUCCCAAGUAUAAGUUCCAAUUGAUAUCUAUUAAAACCCUCUUGAAAGCUAAGAGGAGAAUUUCAUUCAGGGGGAGUUUUGUUUAGUCAAAGGAAAAACAUUUUGAAAUAGGGGGAGAAAAUUUCAAAUCUUGAAAAUGCUUCUCGAAAUCUUAUUCAUAUACCUUUGACUAUUUGCAAAAAGACUUUAAAAAGAUUUUCCAAAAGAAUUUGCAAAAACAAAACAAGUGGUGCAAAUGUUGUCCAAAAUGUUAAAUAAAAGAAAGCAAACCAUGCAUAUUUAGUGAAACUAUAAAUUGAUUUAAUUCCAAGUAACCUAUGCACUUACAUUAUGCAAACUAGUUCAAUUCUGCACUUAUAUAUUUGCUUUGGUUUGUGUUGACAUCAAUCACCAAAAAGGGGGAGAUUGAAAGGGAAAUAGAGCUUAACCUUUUUCUAUAAAUAAUUGUGGUGGUUGAAUGCCCAACACAAAUAAUUGGACUAACUGGUUUGCUCUAGAUUAUAUAUUCUACAGGUGUAUAAAGGUUCAACACAAACCAAUAAAAGAUCAAAGUUAGGGUUCAAAAGAAAGGAACAAAAGAAACCGAAGAGUACUCUGGUCUGGCGCACCGAACAGUGUCCGGUGCACCAGGGCCGUACAACUCUGAAACCUUCACCUUCGGGUUUUUCAGGUGUCGCUCCGCUAUAAUUCACCGGACUGUCCUGUGUGCCACCGGACUAUCCGGUGCACCAGUGGAGCAACGACUAUCAGCACAACGGUCGACUGCGCAGUGCCCCUGACAGCGCUACAGUCACGGCAGAAGUCAGAGCAGAGGUCAGAGGCGCACCGGACAGUGAACAGUGCCUGUCCGGUGCCACUAGAAGUCAGCGCUCCAACGGUCGACUCCGUCAGAACCCUAACGGUUGGAUGACGUGGCUGGCGCACCGGACAGUGUCCGGUGGCACACCGAACCGUCCGGUGCGCCCAUCAACAGCAGCCACCCCAACGGUUGUUUUGGUGGUUGAGGGCUAUAAAUACCCCCAACUACCUCCACUCCAACCAUCCAAGCAUUCAACACUCUCUAUUCAAUACAAGAGCAAAGUGCAACACUCCAAAGACACAAUUCAAGUGAUCGAUCCAAUCAAAGUUCCCGAUUCAACUCUAGUGCAUUAGAACUUGUGAGAGGAUCAUUUGUGUUUCUUUGUUGCUCUUGUUUGCUUGGCUUGACUUUCUUUUCUUUCUCACUUCUUACUCUCAAGUGCUUUGUAAGUGAGGCAAGAGACACCAAUUGUGUGGUGAUCCUUGCGGGGUCUAAGUGACCCGUGAGAUUAAGGAAGAAGCCUCACUCGGUCUAGGUGACCAUUUGAGAGAGGGAAAGGGUUGAAAGAGACCCGGUCUUUGUGACCACCUCAACGGGGACUAGGUUCUUUAGAACCGAACCUCGGUAAAACAAAUCACCGUGUCAUCCGCUUUAUUUUCUUGGUUGAUUUGUUUUCCCCUCUCUCCCGGACUCGGUUUUUAUCCUAAAGCUAACCCCGGUUUGUAGUGUGCUUAAAGUUGUAAAUUUCAGUUUCGGCCUAUCCACCCCCCUCUAGGCGACUUUCAGCGUGCAAAGUGGCUAGCCCUAGAGAUUUGUUGGGGUAGUUGGAAGGAAGCGUAUAAUAAGUUACGAGGAUAUUGUGCAUAUUGACUUACUAUAAACCCAUGUUGAGAUGGUUUCUGUUCACUAGAAGGAAGUACUUCCUCUUCUCCAACGAUGAAGUAACACAUGUCUUGUAACAUGUAUCGUUAUGCAAAAUAAAAUGGUUUCCAAUAUUAUGUAGUGGGUUGUUGAUGGCGCUUUCCUUACCGACCAAUGUAGUGGGUUGUUGAUGAUGGUGGCAACUGUUGAUCUAGAGGUCAGAUAGCGCCAUUAGUUUUUGCUUUGGUAGAUGGAGAAAAGAACAAUUCAUGGUCAUGGUUCAUGCAACUUUUAUGGAUAAAUGUGCUCAACACUUCUAGUAGGAUAUAUAUGAUCUUGUGACUGGCACAUCGAUCAACUAAAUGCAGCAUGAGAAGAGCUUGUAGGUUCUCGCCUCUAGAACACAAAUGACACAUGAGAUAUUUUGAUGCUAAUUUCUAGCGUUGUAGAAAAAGAAGGUUAUAGCCAAGAUAAAGGCUCUAUGUUCUGCAUGGUCGGAGCAUUAGUUUGACACCGAGGGGAAGACAUGGUUGUAGGAGAUGCAACACAAGAGUCUAAGUGGGCAUUAGCAUUUGCUGAGGGACAUUUUUAGUGUGUCAUCAUAACUACCAAUGUGUCUGUGUCUUCCAAUAAUGUUUUCAAAGGGGUCCAAGCCCUACUGUGUUCGGCAUCAAAGAGUAUCCUUUCAUACGUGUGAUAGGACCUAUGUCACCAGAGGGUGUAAAUAGCCCAUAAAAAUUAUUCUAUAAAACUUAAAUUAUAACUAGAGCCAAGAUGUUUGAAUAUGUGGAGCCAUUUACUUACUCUAGUUCGAAUUUACUUUCUGCUAGCUCCUAAUCAGUAUAGAAAUUUGAUGAAAAAAUUAUAAUAAACAUAGCAUGCUAUUUACUAGCAAGAAAAAAAACUUAAUUAUACUCUACACAAAUCUAGAUAGACAAAUGUGAAAUCAUAGGGAAUGUAAUCGCAAGAAUAUUUUGGAAUACAAACCACACAUAACAAGAGAUGACAUGAGAUUUAAUCCUUAGGUUUGGUUGCUUGCUGAUAACCUUGUUCUUGUUGUGGACGAGUCGAAUUAGGUGAUUUUACGUGCUAAUUGGCAUCACACACAAAGCUAGAUGUCAUAAGAAUAUAGAUGUCCAAAUGGGCCGACCGGGCCGACCCUGGCAUGGCUAGGCCCGACACGAAUUGGGGUCUUGCCAGCUUGGCCCGGAUUAACUAGUGGGUCGUGACUAGAGAUGGCCAAACGGGUCGCCCGGCCUGGCCCAGGCCAGGCCCGGUGAAGCCCGACCCGUCUAGGGCCCAGUCCGCUAGGCAUGGUUAUAAACCGGGUCAGACCGUUGAAAGGGAAAUGAGCUUAAUCAUUUCCUAUAAUCGAUUUUGGUGGUUGACAUCUAUCACAAACCACUUGGACUAAUUACUUUGACAAGAUGUCAUUUAUCUCAAGUGCAUAAGGUUCAACACAAACCAAGAAAGAAAUUCAGUUGGGGACUCAAAUAAAUUUGGAGCAAAGGACUUGAGAGUGUGCUGCCUUUGGCGCACCGGAUAGUGUCCGGUGCACCAGGCCGAGCAGUGCUCGAACAGCUCACUCUCGGGUUUCUCCAUGGCGUGCUCCGCUACAAUUCACCGGACUGUCCGGUAUGUACUGGACAUAUCCGAUGAGCCAACAGAGCAAUGGUAACCUGACGCCAACGGUCGUCUGCCAAAAGUGAACAGUGGUGAACAAUGCGCGACAGAGCUCAGAGCAAAGAAGUUAGAGUACACCGGACAUGUCCGGUGCAGCUACAGAACAAGGGUUCCAACGGUCGACCGCUCCAAACCCCAACGGGCACGCUGAUGUGACGCGCACCGGACACUGAACAGUGCCUGUCUGGUGCGCCACCGGACUGUUCGGUGUGCCCAUCGCCGGCAAAAACAACCAACUACUAGGAAGUGGUUGGAGGCUAUAAAUAUUUCCCAACCAGCUCCUUCAAUGGCAUCCAAGUUUUCUAAACUCCAUAUUCAUUGCAAGAGCAAAGCCAAACACUCCAAGACACAUUCAAAGCAUUCAAUCCACUCCAAGCUCCCAAAAUCAACUCUAGUUCUUAGAGACUUGUGAGAGGAUUAUUUGUGUUCUUUUGUUGCUCUUGUUGCUUGGAUUGCUUUCUCCUCCUCUAUUCUUGUUCUCAUAAGUGCUUUGUAAAGCUAGCAAGAGACACCUAAGUGUGUGGUGAUCCUUGCAGGGUCUUAGUGACCCAAGUGAUUAAGGAGAAAGCUCAUCCGGUCUAAGUGACCGUUUGAGAGAGGGAAAGGGUUGAAAUAGAUCCGGCCUUUGUGGCCUCCUCAACAGGGACUAGGUUCUUUGGAACCGAACCUCAGUAGAACAAAUCACCGUGUUCACUUGUGUUGAUUUCCAUUUGAUUCGUUUUCCCUCUCUCUAGAAGUUCCCUUGCUCAUAUAAAUUUGAGUUGUCUCCCAAAGUUAUCCGCAUUGAUUGAGCAACUCUAAGCAAGGAGAACUAUCUUCCGCUCACCGAUUUAAUUCUAACGCUAACCCCGACCUUAGUGCGAGUUUAAGUUUAUAAAUUUCAGGUUUCACCUAUUCACCCCCCUCUAGGCAACUUUCAAUUGGUAUCAAAGCCAGUGCUUCAUUAAGAGUCUAACAAACUCGAAGUGAUGUCUAGAGAUCACGCCAAUAGGGAGAUCGUCACAGGCGAAAAGGCCAUGGGUUCGGGAAGGACUCUAUCAAGGGAGUCCGGCGACAAAUACAAGGAGGAGUCCUCUUCCUCCAUCAAGUCACAUAGGAGGGGCGACAAGAAGAAAAACAAAAUGAAGAAGGUGGUAUACUAUGUCUUCAUCACCCUCCACAUCCGGUGCCGAGUCUACAACUUCGAAGUGCCAUGAGCGUAAGAGUAUAGUAAGAUGCCUCUCCGCUAUCCUCGCAUUCCUAAAUGCGCUCCUCUACUUUCCGUACCUCUAGGCAAACCACCAUAUUUUGAUGGUGAAGAUUAUUGUAUGUGGAGUGAUAAAAUGAGGCAUCAUCUAAUUAACCUCACUCCACGAAAGCAUAUGGGAUAUUGUUGAGUUUGGAGCGCAGGCACCACAGAUGGGCGACGAGGACUACGACUCAGACAAGGCCGCCCAAAUUAAGCAUUUUAACUCCCAAGCAACUUCUAUACUCCUCGCCUCCUUGUGUCGAGAGGAGUAUCAUUGUAACAUCCCAAAAAUUCAACCCAAGGUUUAGAACCCUAAUCUCCUAACCCCCCCCCUUAUCUUUCCCUAAAUUCUCCCUCAUAGGACAUCGCAUCAUAUGCACACACUUUGAUUGUUAGAAGCACCUCACAUAGAUGAUUAUUUUUUAGCACCUAAGAUUAUUUAGCUAAUUAUUUGUUCAAAAGAAAAGGGGAUAAAAGAAAUAGAAAUAGAAAAUAGAAAUAAGACAUAGAAAAUAGAAAAGAAAAUGGAAAAAACCUUCUCCCCCCCC